UUUCUAAUUGAAUACACCUGGAAUGUUAUAAACUUCUUUAAAAUUCUAAUUGAAUACACCCAGAUUUCUAAGGAUUUUAAUAAACUAUCUUAAAAUUCUAAUUGAAUACACCUAAAAUUUCAGAGAAUCACUUGAAAUCCUGAUUGAAUACCCCUAGAUUCAUUAAAAGAAUUAAAAUCCCUUAAAAUCCCAAUUGAAUACACCCCCCUAAAAUAGAACAAUGAGAGAAUGUGAGCUACUCAAUUUAGUACCCUUUAGGGUAGGGUCGAUCCUAAAAUUUUGGACGCCUUGUGCAAGAGUAAUAGUUGAAGUACUUUUCUUAAAAAAUUCAAAGUUAAUAGAUAUUAUAUAAGAAAAAUUAAUAAAAAUGGUUUGAAAACUUUGAAUUUUAAUGAUAAGGACAAAAUAAAGGGUAAAGUUAAUAGUACCAGGAUUGACUUUUUAGUGUAAAAAUGUGAUUUUUCGUUAAAGUGAACAGUACCGAGUGUUUUUCAUUAAAGUUCCUAUUAUAUAUGCUAAAACGUUGUGGCACUAUUCAUUAAUAGUGAAAGGGUGAAACUGUCCUCGUUGUCUUCUUUGCUUGACGUAGUGUGAAAAGCCGGUUUUGGCCAUGCAUGCCACACGUCUUUCAUCGUUACUCUCUACUUCGUCUUCUUCACUCUACUUUGGGUUUCCUUUUUCUGCUUCGCUAAUCUAUUGUUUUUCCCUGUCUUCAUCACACCCUCUUUUCCUCUCAUAUCCUUCAUUUUUAUUUCACUAAAUAGCAUCGGAGGAGAUCCUGCCUUUGAUUUUUUUUGGGAUUUAGUUUCCCGUUGCUUUUCAGAGGAGUCGUUCGUUUGGCGAAUUCUUGGGAAAAUCCAAGCUAUCUCCCGUUCUAAUUCAAAGAAGUUUUAUACCCCAUCAAAGCUUUGGCUUCCGUUCUGAUUUGAAGAAAUUUUAACCCAGAAAAGCUUGGUUUCUUGUUGAGUUCUCCCACAUUUGUCUCGGUUUUGGUUUUUGGGUUCUCCUUUAUUUUAAAUCAACUUUCUAUUAUUUAAUUAUUUUUAUUUGCCAUGUCAUAAAAACAUGUGGAUCUCAUAUUUGUCACGUCAUCACUUAACAAUCAAUUCAAUAGAUGACUAACAGAUGACUAUUGGUUGUAUAACAUUGAAAUGAAAUAAUAAGUAAUAUAUAAGAUUGAAACGUUUUAAAGUUGUCGUACGAUGUUGUAAUUGUACUCAAACUUGAAUGAGCAAAAUGUAACUUACCCAAUUUAUUAAGUAUGACUUUUUUCGUAUUUAAAAUAUUGGGCUGGAACACUGAGUCCUAAUUUUUGCGAAGCCUUUUGUGGCCGCCCAAUCCACACACCCUAUAUGAUGUUGGACAACGAAGAAAGAUAAAGAAAAUAAAAUGUUUCAAAUUUUCGGACAAAAUGUUGAGAAACAUUGGAUUCGAUUGAUAUGACGACGGAAUAGGCAUCAAGAAGUAUUUUGGCAUCAGAAUUAGACGUAUAAUAUGUUGUUUUGAAAAGAAUUGUGAGCAUAAGAAGACUAAUGGUUUUACCAUGAGCCCAUAGUGUCUAAGAUCAUCCGAGGUUGUUUAGGCUUUCAAAAAUACAUUUAUUUUUUGUAAUAAAAAUCAACCUUUUCAUUUGUCGUCCGAUUAGUGUCAUUUUGAUUUUGUUUAAUUACCUAAGACCCUUGAGCUUCUCCAAUGCAUUUUGAUUAUGUUUAUUUAAGCUGUUGACUUAUAUUGUAAUACCAUCUUUCACGAAAUUUAUAUUGAACUUGUCAUUCACGAACGUUAUGAUUUUUUUUAAUACAAUGUAUUUACACUAGGACGUGAUAGGAAAAAAUUGGUAUCGAAUUCGUCAUCCAUAAGAUUCAAACCUAAGACCUCAACACUUACAAGUGAAUAAAAAUAUCAUUUGUAAAACUAUGUUUCAAAUGGAUUUUAAAUUUAAUUAGAGGUAUUAUUUUUAGAGCCAAAUGUGUGACUCAUCCUAUUGCAAAUGCAGCAGAACUAUCCUCUUUUUGAGAAAACAGACGCAUCAAAGUGUUAAUAUUAGGUACUCGGACAUAGGUUUUGCCAAAAACAAAAAGUAGCUCUCCAAAAAUAUCACAAAAGCAAUUCAACAAGAGAAAACCAACUCUAAAUCCUUGGAGCAUUUGCUCAAUCCAUUCGAGUUUUUCACGCAUGCUUCUGCUCAAUCCGGAGGACGGAACCCUUUAUAAUCGAAGGUGGCAACGUACGUGGUUUUCGUCAUGAUAGUGCAGCUCCCGUACUCCCUACAACGAAAAGGUUGAUUCAUCAGUCAUAAACUGAAGAUUCUGAAUGUUCACAAGUGAAGUGAGAUGGGACGUACUCUCGAAACUUUUUCACGUCCUCAUAGUGGCUCAAGGCUUGCUCAAACUUGAGCCACUGCGGACCUGAAUCCUGAGGAUUCACAUUCUUUGGCCCCAAGAUAUAAGCCUGAACAACGAACUCCGGAGUUCUUGAGCUGCUCGUUUAUUAUGACCAUCAAAUUAGACGUAACGUGGUCAAUGAUGUCCACAUUAGGCAAUCGAAAAUUUAUUUCCAGUGACAAAUAAAUCCUGUAACAUACUUACCUCCCUUCAUAUUCCGCUAACCAUACUAAAUAGGCUGCACCAAAGUACAUCGAGAAAAAUGGCUUGCUAAGAUCAUCACCUUGAUUAGGAUUAUAUGCUCUAAAGCCCAUCUCGCUGCACACAACGCGGAAGUUUAAAUGUAUAGUAAAAACUGAAAAUAAUCUGCUUUAACAUUUCCAAACACUGGAACAAUCUCUAGACAGAUUGCUAUAAACUUUUUGAGCAUGCUUCUCUGUUCCAAUUAAGUUCUGUUCAGGAGAUAGACAUACUUGUAGAGCCAUGAAGCUGUAGAAUAGUCGAUUCCCAUAAUUCCAGCACGUGGUCCGACACCAUUCAGGAAACGCAAGCUAAUAACCUCUGCAAGAGCACAAAGAACUGACUGUGCAAAAAAUAAGUCCCCCGAAAAGAAGAAUAACAAAGUAAAAGACAGUGAACGUUGGAGUCAAAGAAGUGAACCGAGUGAGGAUAGAAAUGCUUAUGAAACAGAAAAACACAACGAAAAUGAAAAAUAGUUUCGUUAUCUUCCAGGCUUUUACAUAUCUCAGAUGAAGAAUCAGGUUGUAAAAACUGUUGCGCCUUGGAACGUUCGUUAGUGUGGAAACGAGAUUCAGAUUACAACCUCACCAAAUCACACUCAGUUGAACAUAAUAAAAUACAAGAAAUAAAGACACUAAGAAAUUUACGAGGUUCAGCAAAAACAUGCCUACGUCCCCGGAGAAAUAUUGCUCUUCACUAUGAGAAUAACUAGUACAAGUACACAUGAGUUAAAUCAACAUAACCCAAUCCUGAAUCCCUUGCACACCCACUCAUAGAAUUUUUCAAGAACCUCACUCUACCCCAAGAGUUCUUUCACUAGAAUACUUUUCACUCUAGCUCUCUUGAUUUUCUCUCAACCCAUGUUCAACAUUUCCCAUGGAAGAGCCGAAUGCUCUCUCCACCUUGGAUGCUUUUCUGGCUGCCAUCUCACACACGGCAAGCAUGCCUAAUGCAAGCAUUUCCUUGCAUUAAAUAAAGGCCAAGCCAUCUCAUUUCUUGCAUAAUGCUCCCAAAGUCAAGAGGCAAACCCACUUUUGCUUUUACUUUGCAGCAUUUGUCUGCAACUUUCAAUGCAGCCCACACCAUAUGAUAUUUCCACCGAAAGCAAACACAUGUCACUUCAUUGUUGCCAGCUCAAAAUAUGAGCCAAUCACAACAAAAACCAGUGUCGAAAACAGUCGAAAAUAUAUUUCACAACUUAGAGGUUAUACUUACAGGUUUAAUUGGCUUUGUACUGAAGUGUUUUGUGAGUAUGAUAUCUGCAACUGCCUGCAAGAAGUCAAUAUCAUUUAGGUGACAUGUUAAGGUUGAUUUCACUCACAUUGCAAACCGAAAAAAUAUAAUCAUAAACUUCAAACCAUGGUCUUUUCUAAAUUCGUACCUUCAGUUCUACAUGAGAAAGAUAUGGUCUUUUCUUUUCGUCAAUGGAAAAUCGUACUUUUCCCUUUUUCUCUCCAGUCUUGGUCCACUCUUUAGAGACGUCAUGACGAUUCCACAUUUCCUCCAUGUCUUCUGGGGACGCUCUGACAUCCCAAUAAACAUGAUGACCUGAUCAAAUUUUCUCGGCUUAGUAAUAUAAUGCAAAUGAGGAAUAAAAUGACAGAAAAUUCUUGAAUUUUGUAUGACAAAGCUAAGAAGAGGAUCUACAUUCUUGAGGAAACCUAUAUAUUCGGGACUGCAUUCUAUCAGAGGACAAACAAAGAAUCAUCAAACAUCGUAAAAACACUUAUCAAAACAAAACAUGUUUGGAUUAGUACCAUCCGUGGCAACUCACGGACUGCCAUCUCCACAACUGUUCUCUUUACAAUGUUCAUACUAAACAAAAUAUAAUAUAUUUUUCUAAAACAAAUUUAUCAGUUGAGCUGGCGCGAAUAACUGUAGCACGCUCUGUAACUGGAAAGAGGACCAACCUGCAUCGUGUGAGGGUGCAGACGGCGCAGCAUGAUGGGUUUUAGAAGCGGAGCCAUGAAUUGGAGAUGGAUGACCUUCAAAACUUUUUCUGCACAAAAGGUGUGAUACACCAUAAUCAGCUCUGGAAUGUAUCUGAAAAACUUUAGCUUCUACUUAACAAUUAUUGAGACUUCAUAAUUCAACAAACGCAACACAUUGUUUUCUUUUCGCUACAAAUAAAGGAAAACAUUUCAGUGCAUCAUUACAUUGUCAAAAAGAAAAUUACUGUUACAAAAAAUGCUUAAACCAAGUUCCAGAUUAUAGUGAUAGAGAGAAGAUAGCAACCUGGAUGGAAGACUUUCUUUGACUAAGCGAUACCGUUGCCAAUAUGGCAAAGUUGAUUUGUGAGUUGCCUUCUUGGUACCACCUUUAUAUGCCCUAAUUAUGAAUUCUUCACUUCUUUCUCUACAAAGACGGACGUAUAUAUCAGUAUCGAAUCUUAGAAGAUGGAUAUAACCAAGUCCACAUUCAUAGGAGACACACGUAACAAGAUACAAAAAAUGAUGAGACGAACACUAUAUUUUGUAACUCACUUGUUCUCAAAUUUUGCUAACCAUUUAAGAUACGCAGCACCAAAAUAUACAUUUACAAAAGGCUUGAACAGAAGAUCGUGAUCCCCUUGAACAUCAUAUGAAUGGUAACCCAAAUCACUGCAAGAAAGUUUUACUUACAACGUCAUUGCACCAAAAUUACAUAAAAAGUAGAUAAACAACAUUUCUGGUCCAUUUAAGAGUCACGUUCGCAAGAUCAAAUCAGUUCAUAUAGGUCGUACCUAGCUAGCCAGUCAGCUGUUUUUGGAAAAAGUUGCAUGAUCCCUACAGAGGUGGACUUAGCUUUUUUAUCAUACCGCGUAGCAAGGGGUUGUCUAUCACUUUGAAGGUCUGCAAUAGCACAAAUCAUAUCCUGCAGCAAAAACAAAAGCCAAAAUAAAGGGAACGAAAAGACUUGGCCGCAUAACAAGGGCAUGUUUAUUGUCCAGCAGAGAUUGAAGCUGCAUUCUCAGCAGCUGAUGACUCAAUUGCGAAGACCAGAUAUAUAUGCCACUGAGGAAAAGUGCAUUCUAUUAUUCUUUUGGACGGAGGAAAAAGUGAGUUCAAUGCAAUCUGAUUAAAGCACAUUAUGGAAAAGGGUAAAGACUAGCUAAUCUGUUCUUAUCAUAGAAAACUUACAGGAUCUAUUUGUGAACCAAAAUGCCGGCGGAUGAUGAUCUCAGCCACAGCCUGAAAAACAGCCAUAUGAUGCAAGGUAAAUAAUUCAACAAAUUCGGAAGAAAAUGGUCUGCGCCUAAUUUAUUCCAAAAGAAUUCUCUUUAGCAUUUUUUUACUGUCGUUCCCCAUAAGGAAACUAAGAGUUGUAAAAGAAAAUGUAAUUGGCUAAUUGCCUAGUCUCAUACGUCAAAACUUCUUAGUCAAACUUAUAGUAAAUCAUUUCCUUCAAUGUAGUUAGAACUGUGCGCUUCACCUUCAUUUCGGUCUGUGUCAAAUAAGCAUUUCCAUCGGGAUCGCGCGAGAGGUGAACUUUCUGGCCUUUGGUCUCUCCAACAUCUAACCAUUCUGCAGCCACACAGGGACUACUCCACAAUUCUUCCAGGUCGUGGGGAUCAACACAGUAAUCCCAAUAUUUAUAGCUGGCAGCCAUCCUUGCAAUUUUGUUGGAUCUUUAUCCUAGCAUCUGAUAUACACAAGAAGAUUAAUUUCUUAUAGCAGUAUUCAUUAAGUGCCCAUAAAUAAAUACUCUUGGAAAACAACAAUGUGAGAAACAGAAAAAUCACACAAAGUUUCUUAGUAAGAAUGAAAAUUCUCAUACCCCGGAUUUCCAAAUUAAAUCCAAUACUGUGCAAUUCAUCGCAGCCUUAAGACCAGAAUUUAAUUCAUUUCUUCCCUAAGACCAGAAUUUGCAACCUAAAUCAAUCAUAUUUCAGUCUUAACAACAUCCGAAGCCCAAAACAAAUAACCACCCCGUCAAAAAGCUGCAGUUUUUCACCAUAUUAUAUAUAUAUAUAUAUAUAUAUGAUGAACUAUCAACAGAUCUAUAUUAGACCCCAUAACAUGCCAACCCAAAACAAGCACAUACAAAUACAAUGUACAUGCAUAUAUAUACAAAUUUUAUUCCAUGCAUAAGUAAAUUGGUGAUCUCUAAUCAUAUAUGUGACGUUAUGUUGUCUGAUUGAAAAUCAACGUAUUUAUAUGUCGUUCUAUAUUAUUACUUUCAAACAUGCAUGAUUUAGUAUAAUCAACGAUUUUAACAACAUAAAUAGGAAGAUAAAUUUUUCAAAGAGGCAAAAGAAUUUUGGAGUGGAUUACCAGCGGCAAGAGGUGCAAUGAGAGAACAGAUUUUUUAUUUAUCUUUAUUUUUUAAUUGUAUGGUCUCUCGAGAGAAGGGUAUGCUGGAAUGUUAUAUGAAAUGAAGGAGGAAGACGGAAGGUGGACAAAUGACCAUUGUUGCCGGAAAGUUAUGUGGCAAUUACUCAUCGUUGGGGGAGAGCUUGUCAGAGAAUGACACUUGGCUUUCCAUGUCUAACCAAUGCUGAAACUUUCUUCGUCUUCCUUUACACAAUUAAAAAUUUUCUGUUUUUGCUCUUUUCUUUUUCGUGAUAUAAACUCUAUAUCAAGUCAGACAAAAAAAAAAAAAAAAAUUAUAUCAAGUAAAAAGAUAAUUUGUAAAAAGUUAGUAACUUAAUUGGUUAAGAGAAUUUAUUUUUACAUUUGAAAUUUUUAGUUCAACUUUCUCCUCUCAAUAUCGUUUGUAUAAGAAGUUAAUUUUUUUUGUUAUGCCUUAAUAAAUUAUCAAUUUUAUUCUAACAUUAGUAGUAAAUAAAUAAUUUUGGUUUACGAAAUCAUGAGUUCAAAAGAAAUUGAAUACAAAAUACAAACACAGACAAAACCUCAAGAACAAAUGAUAAAACUUGGAAGACAAGAAAACUACUACCAGCCUAAAAGCUAAUUAAUUAACCUAAAGUGCUGCAUUUCUUACACGUUUGCCAAAUUCGAUGCAUGCAAACCUAAUUACUCUAUUAAGUAUAUUAACAUUUCACAUCGUGUGAAAGAAUUACUGACAAAUUGGAAAAUAUAACAAAAUUGUAUGGUGACUUGCAAUCUCGCAUACAUAUGAUGCGAUACCAAAAUCUCUACACCAAUAAUCUAACUUCAACAUAAAUUAAACUAUAUCAUUUGUGUAUAUACUAUGUACAAUGAGUACUAGAAAUCUAUGGCCGUGUUACUAUUUUUUAUUAUUUUUAAUAUAAGAGAAUUAGAGAUGAAGGAAGAGAGAUGAGAAUAGUUGACAGGAGAGUAAAACAACUUAUACAAAAUGAUCAUAUCUGUUCCACUGUUGUUUUGUCUUAUAAUUUAAUUUUCGGGCAUGUUUGAGAUUGUUUUUGAAAGGAGUAAAAUCACUUUUUGACAAUCAUAAGUGUUUUUUACUAUGUUAAGUGGACAAUUUUGAAAGUGCUUCUAGAUUAAGUAAGAAGUUUCUUCGAUAAGUACUUCAGUGUGCUUUUUAAGCAGCACUCGGAUUAUUAAUUAAAAUCCCUAGAUAUUUCUGAAUUUUGAUAAAAAUACUUUGUAAGUGUUGUGAGUAUAAUUGUUUUCUACAUAAGCAAUUCCAAACAGACUUUUCAUCCCCCAACUUUCAAAGAAUGUGGGCAAUGAAAUUGGAUGACAAACUCCCAUCUCAUGAUUUUGAUAUUUUCUUGAUGAUUUGCUGGGCUCUUUGGGACGCUAGGAUUAAAAGCCUUUGGUCUGACAAUUAUGACAAAUGUGCUGGUUGCUAGGGCUAUGUCAUGGUGGCAUGAGUUUGUAGCAAUAAAGGAGCCUUUGACCAAUUAGUCUCCGAUUGGAAAAAUUGUGGAGAAUACAAAAGUUUUGCUUUCAAUGAUCACUGAGGUUAGCUACACCUACACCCAUGUCCACCGCCAAGUUAAUGGCGUCGCCCAUCACCUUCCCCGUUAUGCUCUCACUGUCGAACUCCCCUGUGCUUGGUUGGAUUCUCCACCAAAUUUUAUUCUGGAUUUACUCUUUCGAGGAUUGCAACUUGAUUUAAGCCUGCUUCUGCCGCUAUAUUGUGUACUUUUUUUCUUUUUCUAGUUGAUUGAAAUUUGCUAUCGUUUCUUUUUAUUUAUUUGAAAGAAAAAAAAAACAGAAUUUUCAUCCUUGUAUAAGCUACUUGUUUUCCUUUCUUAAUUUUAUUUGUGCGUUGAGUGGCAAUCAUAUAAUCACAUGCAUCAUGAGUUCCCAGGACAACUUUAACAUCUUGAUUAGUAAACAACUACUCAUAUGUGUGUUGAUUUCUUGUUAUAAUGUAGGCGUCUAAUUACAAUUAUAAUUCGAAUAUAAGCUUAUAACCAAGUAGGCUAGUGGCUAUUAUUGGUGUGCUUAUAUAUGAUGGGUAACUUUGAAUGUUACUCUUCCAACAACAUUCUUUGUUUCGUAAGCCUUCUUUGGAAUCCAUAAUCUAAUCAAUAAGUUGUUUAGACAUCUAUAUCUUCGUAUCAAAAUUCAUAUAUAUAUAUAAUAGACAAAAGAGUCUUUGAUAACUUUUCUUAAAACAAUUAUAUAGAUGAAUAGCACGCAAAUGCAUCUAUGUACAAGAUUGCGAACAAAAAUUUAGUAAUCCCACUAACCUUCAACGUUCUUAAUAGGUGCUUUCAAAUAAGGGUUCAAUGUAGACAAAUAAGUUAAAUCACAUAAUCAGUCAACACACUUAAAUCUGGAAUAUAUUGAGAUUUAUACCUAAUAGUUGUUAACGAAAGAGACCGAGUGUGGAUGCAAAUUUUCGCCUUCUUCUUCUUGGACAAAAUUUCACCUACAAAACAAUUAACACCUUAGGGAUAAGGCCAAGAGCCUUACGCGCCCACGAUGAAUGGGGGGGCUUUGGCCGAAGAACCUCCAAUGCCAAAGUUAAAAUUUAGAGAGAAAAAGUGUUUAGAUGAUUUUUGGGAGUUUUGCAAGAGUCUCAACUUAGCUUUUUAGAAGAAAUAGGGUCAUAUAUAUAGGGAAUGGGGUGUUAUUUGGUGAUUCAAUUAACAAUUAAUAUAUUAAUUAGGUAUAAAUAUAUUAAUUGGCUAAUUAUCAUAAUAAAAGAAAUGUUUUGGGAGGUUUUUGGAGGUUAUGGAAUGAGGAUGGAUGAGACAAAUUUGAACUUGUUAACUAUUUUGGGUACUCUUGAUUUGGUUGAUGGAUGAUUCUCCACUGCUCGCAUGUAGGAGAUCCGGUAUGCCUCGAGGGUAAAUUUAUCAUCUUCACCCAAAAAUCCACGUGUCACUUUGUGAUUAUUUUUGGCUCCACAAAUGCCCCCACACCUGCUGGGCUACUCGUAGGAAAGUGCAGCAAGUGUAGAGAUCUUCUUGCUCUAGGAAACUUAGGACUGCUUCCUGUUUUGAUGUAGAUUCCCUCUUUAAUAUGAAAUUAGAUCCUUCUAGGAAAAUGAAAUAAAUUUCUCUCAAAACCUAUUUAAGUCCACCUUAAGUGGGUUAUUAAAUCAACUUUGGAGAGUGAUUUAUUCUACCCUACAAGAGAGAGCUUAGAUGAUAUUUGUUUCCCCUCAUUUAGCAAUCUUCUACAUUUUGCUCGUGCAAAUGACCGUCUUUCGUAGCUUUCUUCGUCUUCUUCGUGCCGCACCAAUGUAAUAAAAACUUAAUUUCUUCUUGUCUUCUUCUUAGAUGGUGUUGCCAUGGGGCAGUCGUCGGCUUGUCAUGGGCCAGUGAGGUGGUGUGGUAGGGGCUAUUGCUUGUGCUACUCAGCUUGAUUGAAGCCAAGGAUUAGCUUGGCAUGGGCCGAGGAAGUGGCGUGGCAUGGGUAACGGUUUAAGCUGCCAUGUCUGGGCUGCUUGCCAAAAAUGAGGAAACUGCUUGAGUUUGAUUUCUCAGUUGCCGUAGAUGGAGCAGUCAAAGAUAAAGCUGCUGAAGAUGAAGUGUCAGAUGAGUGAACUGUUAAGUGCAAAAGUGGCUACUGCCCCUGACCAUUUACUGCGUAAUUGAUCUUCAAGCAUUCGAUCUUUUAAGCUAUGUGGCCUUCUCACACUGGAGAGCUUACCUAGAUGGGUAUUCAGGAAUUAGUUUACUCUUUCGCACUGGAGUGCAAUUAGUUUACCCUCUUGCACUAGAGAGCAAUUAGUUUAUCCUUUCGCACUGGAGAGUAAACCCAUAUGGGUGUCAGGAAAUUAGUUUACCCUAUCGCACUGGAGAUCAAUUAGUUUAUCCUCUCGCACUGGAGAGCAAACCCAUAUGGGUGUCGGGGAAUUGGUUUACCCUCUUGCACCAGAGAGCAAUUAGUUUAUCCUCUCGCACUGGAGAGCAAACCCAUAUGGGUGUCGGGGAAUUGGUUUACCCUCUCGUAUGGGUGUCGGGGAAUUGGUUUACCCUCUCGCACUGGAGAGCAAUUAGUUUAUCCUCUCGCACUGGAGAUGGGGAAUUGGUUUACCCUCUCGCAUUGGAGAGCAAUUAGUUUAUCCUCUUGAACUGGAGAGCAGACCCUUUUGGGUGUUGGGGAAUUGGUUUACCCUCUCGCACUGGAGAGUAUAGAAGUCAUUGUCAUAAGUGCGGCUGAGGAAAGCUGGACUGCUAGGAUAACCGAAAUAAUCCUUAGCCUGCCCCCGGUUCUUGGUAGUUGGGCUGAUGUGUCCUUCUGGUACUCGUUUGCCCCAUGGCCCGCCAUUAGGCUGAGCUGCUGUGUUUGUCGAAGCAGAAGUUAUUUUUAUAUCCGACAAUCUAUGUGGGGUAGUCCUAUCUGCUCGAUCUUGUCAUUAAAAGAUAACUUGCUUAUGUUGGUCAUGUCUCAUCGAAGCGCCUUAUCAAUAGCUUCGUUGCGCAAGAAAUUGCGCAAUCGCUUGGUCAUGAGCCUUUCUACUUCUACCUGAAUUUGCCUUUGUUGGGGAUGGCAGAGCUCUCGGCUACCCCGGUUUUAACCUGCUGGUCUAGGCUGCUCUUUCAUGUGCUCGGCUCAUCUACGUCGUGGCAAAGUGCAUAUGGUCCACUUCUGGCAAACAAGGAAUUAUUCGCGGGCUGCCGGUUGAACUUGAGCCAGAUUGAGUGAUUGCUUCUCUCUGUCCAUCGUGCUGCUUGCUCCGAUGUGAUGUGGAUGAUACUCCUUGCAGGCCUAGCCAAGAAUGAAUGUUUUGCCUAGAAGGCUGCACAUGUUGAUAAUCAGAGUGUGGCCCCAGCCGUGAGUGUAUACUUGUCCUCGAGCCUAGUCGAUAUUGUACGCUCCUCCGCGCGCUAAGACGGGAGUAUACGCUAUCUCGGGGGCCUAAUCGGGAAUGUACACUGCCUGAACGUUCGGCUCGUGGCUGUUUGUCGGGAUGCUGCUGGAAAGGUUCGUCUGCCCUUAUCUUACUUCGGGACACCUCGUCCGAGGCACGUUGGAUCUCGAUGCGUUGCAAAAGUUGAUUCACCAAAGUCGUCUGUUGUGCAAGGACACUCGUCAACUCUAUGACUUGUCGAGACAAGUGUUGUUCGCCAUUUAAAUUGGAAGAGCUUGGAAGGAAUGUGCCUCAUUGAGCAAUAGAAGUAUGGUAGACUCCAGGCAUGAGAUUUGAGUUGGGAAAUGUCAAAUUCGUGGAGAAAUAUGGUGAAAAUGCCCCCGGCUCAAUGGUUGCUCCAGAUAGUUGAGAUAUUCUCGGGCCAACUUGAGUUGCUUGGGAAACCAUAGGAGGCAAGGUUGCGGGAACAUGCAUGGUUAUGGGAGUGGGUUGCUUGGCGGGAGCAGGCUGGGCCGCAAGAGUGGGAGUGGGCUGCUCGGCGGGAACAUGCUGGGCCACGAGAGUGGGCUGCUCGUAGGGAGCAGGCUAGGCCAUGACAGUAGGUUGCUCGGCGGGAGUAGGCUGGGCCACGAAAGUGGGCUGCUCGGCGGGAGCAGGCUGGGCCACGAGAGCAGGUUGCUUAGAGCGUGAUGCAUGCAAGUGCGAGGCUUGGGCUCGGGCCCAUGCAAGCUUGGAUGGCACGGCUUAGGCCAUGGUGGAACCUCGUAGUGGUGGUACCACUUCGCCUAUGACCACAUUUAGCCUCAUGGAUCGCCGCGGUUCAAUUUCUUGAGUAUUAGAAUUCUCACUUGUGGAAUUUUCUAAAUUUCUAGCCAUUAUAUUUUUCUUAUAUGUUUUAUCAAAGAACCUUUGCAAAUAAAAAAUUCUAAUAAUAAGAACGUAUGAAAAAUAUUCAAAUGGACUAGAAAAUAACGAAAAACCUUUUUAUGCGAGAGUCUUCUACGAGUAUGGAUCUCAACUCUCAAUGAAAGCACCAAUUUGUGGAUGCAAAUUUCCGCCUUCUUCUUCUUGGACAAAAUUGCACCUACAAAACAAUUAACACCUUAGGGUCAAGGCCAAAAGCCUUAUGUGCCUACGAUGAAUGGGGGGGCUUUGGCCGAAGAACCUCCGAUGCCAAAGUUAGAAUUUAGAGAGAAAAAAGUGUUUAGAGGAUUGUUGGGAGUUUUGCAAGAGUCUCAACUUAGCUUUUUAGAAGAAAUAUGAUCAUAUAUAUAGGGAAUGUGGUGUUAUUUGGUGAUUCAAUUAGCAAUUAAUAUAUUAAUUAGGUAUAAAUAUAUUAAUUGGCUAAUUAUCAUAAUAAAAGAAAUGUUUUGGGAGGUUUUUGGAGGUUAUGGAAUGAGGAUGAAUGAGACAAAUUUGAACUUGUUAUCUAUUUUGGGUACUCCUGAUUUGGUUGAUGGAUAAUUCUCCACUGCUCGCGUGUAGGAGACCCGGUAUGCCUCGAGGGUAAAUUUAUCAUCUUCACCCAAAAAUCCACGUGUCGCUUUGUAAUUAUUUUUGGCUCCACACCGAGUACACCGCCACCAUAUUAGUUGCUAAACCCCUUUCAUAAAAGUCUCUUAAUAGAGGUAAUUUACAUGUGUUAUCGACUAUAUGUAUGGUCCGUAAAUUAGGUAUAUUUCUUUAAGGAGUAAAUAAUAUCCAUUUCAUUAUCAUGUUGGACAUUGUCAUCAUGUGAAAACAAAGUACCCGUUGACAUCAAACAGAUGUUUUGUGUAUUAGUCCAAGCUUGUGCGGUUGUGCCUAAGAAAAUGCCAUGACCUAAUGAGACAACAAACAAAUCAUGUCAUCCCCGAAAGCAAGAUUGCACUUGUUACUUUGUUAGCAUAUAUAUGCCUUCCGGCUAUUAGCUUCCAACUCUAUUGCCAAGACAAAUGUUAAAAUCAGUCGUAGAUAUUCAGUAGUGGAUCCAUGAUUCGAAUUUUAGGAGGUUAUAGUGUUAAAGGUUCAAGUUUUUUAGAUAGAAAUUGAGCGCGAAGCGCAUAUAACAAUUCAGUUUAGUCACUGAGGCAUUUCAUUUAACACUUGACGAAUUUAUUGUCAUCAGCCGCACCAAGUUGCACACAUGUCCGAAGAUAUUAAUAUAUGCUGAAGUAAUAUGCUAAGUGCUAUUGAGAGAAUUUCUAGAGUGCUGUCAACGGAACAUGCGAGGGACAUUUUGUCAAAUAUUUGGUGGGCACAAAAAAAACCCCACCAAAUAUAGGAGUUUUAACUAAACACUCUUGAUACUGUUUACUUUUAACAAAAAACCAUAUUUUUACAUUUUCCUGGUACUAAUAACUACACAUUUAUUUGUUAUUUUUCAUUAAAACUAAAGUUUUUUUAGACUUUUCGUUAAUUUUUCUACCAAAUAUUAGAACUGUCAUCGAAAGAUUUUCACAUAUAUAUUUUUAUGACUCCAAAUAAUUCUACCUUGAUUCCGAUGUGCAUCCGUCACUGGGUGUGCGGGUGCGUGAUCGAUUUCUCUUCCAACUUUUAGUUCUUAGUCUACAUCAGAUUAAAAGAGUGUUAAAAUGAGUCGCGAAUGGGCGCGUGAUUGAUUUAUUGUUGUGAGUAUUACUAUUUUCCUACCUCUAGGAAGAGCACGUGCAGAGCUGUAUUUGGUUGUUUUCAACCCUAACCUACCACUUCACGCACACCCCGACAAAGCUAAGGCCAAAAGAGUACUGUGUGGAAUGCGUUGGCUCCACGCUGAGAUAUUAUCACAUUCAAUCAUCAAUGUCAAUAAUUUAGGUUUAUUCGCAUGUAUUAUGUGUCCUCUACUUCUACCGUGAAUGUCCCACUUUGAUUCCCCCGACCAACAUAAAAUAACAAAAGCAGGUUUGUGCGGUUCGUAUUUGAAAGUUUGGUAAGGUAGUAGAGCAACCAUCUUUUAACGGAUUAUUCAAGAUUGGCUAACAAAAGUAAAUACGAAGACCGAUUUAACUAGAUUAAAAACACGAGACCAAAUUAACUGAUAAGAUAAAACACAAGGACUAUUGUGAUGUUUAAGCAAAAAAGUUAAGAUAUUAUCUUCUACUUGAGAAAAACAUUGCACAUGCACACUUGAUCUAUAAAAUAUAACUGAAUUGAAAGAUUUCACCAUCAAUUUGCAAAAUUUAUGUGUAUAUAUUAUUACAUUUUCUUGAUUUUCCCCAAACCCUAGCCAUUUUCUUAUUAAAAAGGAAAUUUAGGAUUGAUUCAACCUUUUCUUUUGGUAAAUGCAUUGCAACCUUUUCUUAGUCUCCAUCGUUACAUUGCAUGAAAGAAAGUUUGGAAUCUUAUGAAUAGUAGAAAAACAACAAUUGAGGGAAAACUUCUUGUAUGCACAUGAACAAAUCACAUGGAUGUCUAAGAUCAUUUUCGAGAGUCUACAAAACUAAAUUUGAAUUGCCAUAUAAGAUUUUUUUGUGCUCCAACAAAGUUGUCAAAUGAGUAUUCAAAUUUGGAAAAUGUCCUACAAUCUCUAGAUUUAGAGUCUCUCUAUCUCACUUUUUCUUUGCCAACUUUUUUUUUUUCCAAAAAUUAAAUAUAAAAAAAGGACAUGUGAUGAAAAGUAAUAAAAAAAGAAACUAAGAUUUGUAGAGUCUAUAGGAGCAAAAUUGUGAAUCAACAAAUUUUAGUUUUCAAACUGCCCGGUUAAUAAAUUUGUAUUUGAAAAGUCGUAUUUAAAGAAAGUUAUUAGAAAUACUCUAAUGACUCUAGCCGAACACUAAACAUCCAACUUUGCUACAUCCCUUGUGCUUGUUAUCGUAUACAAAGGUAUAAUUCCUUCACAAGCAAAACUUAUGUUUCACUUUGAGGAUCACGUCAUUUGUACGUUGAAAAUGUGGUUUAAAAAGUUAGUUUAUCUACCAUUACACUAAAAUUAAGUUCUCAAAACUGGAAGUCAAUUUGAUUGUGUGUAGAGACGUGUUUUCACGGGUUGACACAAAAAUUUCCAUGGAUUGAGACCUAAACGUAACAAACAAAAGAACUUGGACCGGGAAGGUGAACCGGCCAUCUGUAGGACCGGCUAGAAAUCUUAAAAAGGAGAAAAGCCCCAAAAAGCCCACACAGGUCAAACGUGGCUGUCGAGAACUACGAGACCCUUUCUCUCCUCACCACGUCACGACAAACUCACCUACGUGAUGUACACAGCUGCCCAUCCGCUGUUUCCACUCUCACCAUAACCCACACUUCCUCCAAUCACGAUCGUUAAUAUCCCACGCCUCAAUACAUCGACGGUUAGAUACCAUCAAGGUAUUCGAUGUAGUUCGCAGGAGAUUGGUACCAUAAAGAACGUGACGAGAGAGACAGGAACCAUGAGAGAGAGAGAGAGAGAGAGAGAGAGAGAGAGAGUUUCAGGUGAGCUCCGUAAGAAACUCCGCAUGCUUUCUCACGAUAUUCUUCUCUUUUUUUUUUAAUUAAAAAAAUAAAAAAUAUUAAAAAAGGAAAACAAAAAACACAUUUGCCCUCUGGUGGUGGCCUGUUCGGAGUCCCCAAUAGCUGCUUAAAAAGCUUCUGUUUUUUAGGGUUUUUCAUUCCAUUUGCUUCGGACAAAGAGAGAGUAGGAGAGCUCCGAACCGAUCAGAAAUGGCGGCUUCUUCUCUGCUCAGAUCUACCGUCUCAGCUCCGUUGAUCGAAGCCUCCCGCGCCGACCUCGCCGCCUCCGCCGCCGCCUCUUUCAAGGUCUGUUUUUUUUUUAACUCCCCUCAGCAGCUUGAGGCUAAUCACCUCCCAACUGUUUCAAAACACGUCGUUGAUUUAUUUAAGCGUUCCAGAAUUUGGUUCUGUAUCGGUAAAUUGCGUAUUUGUUGGAUGCUUGAAAAAACAGAGGCCUGAAAAAUGUGUUCUUUUGAAUAAAUCAUUUGAUUUUUAUCAGUUUUUGUUAUCAAGUUUAAGGCUUUGAAUUUCUGCUAGUAUUUAGUUUUUCAAAUUAGAUUUUUUGUUCUUUCAUUUAGGAAUCAGUUGAAUUUUCUUAAGCUUUAAAUAUCUCUUAUGAUUUUUCAUAUUUUAUUUAUCUGGUUUAAUUUAUUAGACCAGAGGAAAUCACUACUCACUAAAGCAAUAAAUAGCAAAUGUAGUUUCUGUUUCUCUUUGUUUUAAUUUUGGUUGUAAUAUGUUGUUCAGGUGUCAAGCGUUGGGUUUAGCCGCAAUCUGAACUGUCCCAAGGUGCAAUCAUACAUUUUUGGCACUUCCAUCCCAAGCGGGUCAUCUUCUUUACAGUUGAGCAACUCAGUCUCAAUUUUGAUGUUUAAUUUUUCGGUUUUGCAAUUCGAGGCUUUGUUCUUGUUAUAGACUGUGAUAUAUGUUCUGUUUUCUAGGAUAUGCAGCGCCAGGAGCGUCCAACCCAUCAAGGCCACAGCCACCGAACUGCCACCAACAGUUCAGAGUAAGAACGCCAAAAAUACUUUUCGAACGUGGAGUUGAUUUGUAUUGCUCUGAAGCUCACUCUUGAUUGGUUGUUUUGUUUAGGAUCCGGGAGUGGUGGGAAGACAAAGAUCGGAAUCAACGGUAAGUUCGUUGAAGUUGUGCUUUUUCUUGCUUAUCCUUAGGCAUGAAUGAUGUUUUCUUUGCUUAGUUUAGGUUAGUUUUGAUUACUAAGUAAUAAGUUGUUUUGACUAUAAUUUCAAUAUUACUACUUUGCUUUUCUCAUUAGCUUCUUUAAUUGUUUUUGGAUGCUAAAAAAUCGUUAGCUGUUAGUCAUAGUACUGAUGAUAUACCAAUAACACAUUUAACUGAUGUUUAGAUUGUCUUGCCUUUAGAAAGGGUGAUUUUAGUUGUUAUAUGAUGAAAACACUAUUCGUGCAGGUUUCGGUAGAAUUGGAAGGUUGGUUCUAAGGAUUGCAAGCACAAGAGAUGAUAUAGAAGUGGUAGCAGUCAAUGAUCCUCUAGUAGAUCCCAAGUACAUGGUAAGUUGUACGGAUGUAUCAUUAACAAUGUUUAUUGCAAUAUGCUAAUUUCCUUUGUCAUAAUUACGUAGCACAUAGUGCCAUAUCGGUACUAGUUCUUCUUUAUGUUUUAAGAUGGGAGUGAUAUUCAUUAGACAGUGUAGGAAGUGUAGGAAGUGUUGCAAAUUACUUAAGUUAGGACGUCAACGAAUAUAUUUGAACUGUUCCCAAUUACCUUGUUUUUCUCAAUGCUAGUAUCCAUACAGUUGAACUUGAAUAUUUAACUGAAAUAUUGAAACUGUAUAUAUUUUUGUUUGUUCGAUGUUUUGAUGCAAGUAAAAGGUAAAACAUUGAUGAUUUUUUCCUGGAUGUGCAUUUUGCUCCUGUCCUAUAACCAGUUUCAAACUUAUUGCUGUCAAGAAUGCUCUUGCUUUUUCUUUUAUUCUUAUGAAGGUUUAACUUUCGUUUUUGUUUUGCAAUGUCCAGGCUUACAUGUUUAAGUAUGACUCUACGCAUGGAAUAUUCGAUGGAUCAAUUAGUGUUGUGGAUGAUUCCACCUUGGAAAUAAAUGGCAAGGCAAUCAAAGUUGUGAGCAAAAGGUAUUGUGCUGUGAUUUUCAGCAGUAAUCUAAUUCUCUAGAGAAUGUUGUGCACCAGAAUUUGCUUUUCUAUUGUAAAGAGUAUCAUGUGAAGCUAUUUGUGAUUCGGGAUUAACUUCUUAACCUUAUCCAGAGAUCCUGCUGAAAUCCCUUGGGGUGAUUAUGGGGUUGAGUAUGUUGUCGAAUCUUCUGGGAUUUUUACGACACUUGAGAAGGCCGCAUUACAUAAAAAGGUUUGUUGCUUUAAGUCUAAUUUCUGCACUGUUUGUCUGUUACUGGACACCAGGUUGAUCUCUGAUUGCUUCUCCUUUGCAGGGUGGUGCAAAGAAAGUGGUAAUAUCUGCCCCAUCAGCCGAUGCACCAAUGUUUGUCAUUGGAGUAAAUGAGAAAACAUACAAGCCAAAUAUGGACAUUGUUUCUAAUGCGAGCUGUACCACCAACUGCCUUGCUCCUCUUGCCAAGGUUUGAUUGCCUCCUAUAAAUUAUUGAUAUAAAUUUGAGCUCCAUUAUAAUUUGAACUACAAUUCUGGAUGGUAAAUGUUAUACAAAAACAUGUCUGCUUUUAUUAUAUCCUUUUCCUUUCAAUUUAAUAAUUCUUUUUUGGCAUCGUCACCAAAUAGUUGAUAUCUGUAUUAUUUAUUUGUUCUUUCUGCUUUCUUCCUGUGUUAGCACUUCGUAAUAAGCUACUGCCUCUUGCCAUAUCUUACCUCAUUAAAUGUAUUUUGUAGGUGAUUCAUGAGGAAUUUGGUAUUCUUGAGGGUUUGAUGACAACUGUGCAUGCAACUACAGGUUCCUUCCCUCUGCCUCUCUCUCUCUAAAACACAUGUAUGUGAUUGUUGAUCACUUGUUAUGGGGCUAACAUACUGAUGGUUUUACACGUUCAGCAACACAGAAGACAGUCGAUGGCCCUUCAAUGAAGGACUGGAGAGGAGGCCGAGGAGCUGGACAGAACAUCAUCCCUAGUUCUACUGGUGCUGCAAAGGUACUAUAUCUGAAAAUAGAUUCUUGGUGGUACUUCCAAAGAUAUUUGGGUGUUUUUAUAUGAUUUUGUCGAUGUUUAACUUUUUGUAUUUAUUUUUGGGGUUUAAAGUUACACUAAUCUCUUUUGCUCCUUGGAAUUGUAGGCAGUUGGAAAAGUUCUACCAGAACUCAAUGGAAAGCUCACUGGUAUGGCCUUCCGUGUCCCCACUCCUAAUGUAUCUGUGGUGGACUUAACUUGUCGACUUGAGAAGAGUUCUUCAUAUGAGGAUGUCAAAGCCGCGAUCAGGUACGUGUUCUGCAUUGUGUGUGUAUAUAUUACAGUAUCUACCUUUAUGUUUCUUUCUUACCCCCUUCUUUGGAUAGCUCAUUUACUUUGAUAUCUUACGCGAAGGUAUGCUGCUGAUGGGCCACUUAGAGGCAUCCUCGGAUACACAGAAGAUGAUGUCGUCUCCAAUGAUUUUGUUGGUGACUCAAGGUAGGAUCCUUUUCUUUUUCCUAAGAUUUCUUCAAAAGGAAAGCAAUACUAGCAUGAAUUGACUUGGUAAGAUUCAGUUAUGGAAGUUCUUUACUGAUCUGCUUUAAUUUAUUCCUCUAACUCCAGGUCCAGUAUAUUCGAUGCCAAGGCUGGAUUAGCACUUAGUUCCUCCUUUGUUAAGCUUGUUUCGUGGUACGACAACGAGUGGGGAUACAGGUAAACACUCUACACUCUGCAUGUAUAUUACAAUUUGCUGCCCGCGGUAUAUAGUUCAAUGCGUCAGACUAAUCAAGCUUGUCUUUCUAACAGCAACCGAGUUUUGGACCUCAUAGAGCACAUGGCGUUGGUGGCAGCAUAAGUCACGGUUGCCGAGUGUCAUCCCAAUUUUUGGCGCUUUGAUGCGAUGCUACGAGUGUCAUCGCAUAAUUCUACUCGAAAAUAAUGGAAAAUAGGACUUGCAUGAGCUCGCAGGUUGUGGGCUAAGUACAUCAUCUAUUUGUACCGUAUUAUAAUAUACCGCUCCGUUGAAGGAGCUUUUUCCCUUUGUGUCGAAGAAAUUCUUAAAAAGUGAAUGACAUUCGAACAUAUAUAAUUAGAACAAGGUUUUGCUUUCUUUUGAUUUAGUGUUUAAUUAAAUAACUUUAGGCCUCUUCAACCACUGUCGAUUGAUCUAGUGUUAGAAACUCACAUUCUAAUAUGUAUCGGAACCACAAUGUUCACAUGCUGACCCAUCUUUUGCGCUUCGCUUAUCAAUUAAUGUAUUGUCUAUGUGUUAGGUUUAAAUGACUUCAUAGUUGAAUGAAUGUAUUGUCCAUGUGUUAGGUUUAAAUAAUUUCGUAGUUGAAUGAACUGGUUAAAUGUAUAAAAUUAAACCUUGCAUAAGUUUUUACAUGAUCGUGGACCUCUAUAUCUAUCGAUUGCCAACUGGUUACCCAUAUUGUAAAUUAGUAAAUAUUAUUAAGGAAAAGCCCUUAUGAUUAAAUAUUUUCAAAUACCCAAAACGCCCCUUGUUUCUUUCAUAUUAGAAAAAAUCAACAAAAUUUAGAAAAUGACUACAAGAUAGUAAAGUUAUAAUACGUUGAUUUAACCGAGUACCAAUCCAACUCGAGCAAAACUAUCAAACGAUGUGCUAUAUAAAAGGUAACUGUUUGAUCUAACCGAGUACCAAUCCAACUCAAGAGCAAAACUAACAAACGAUGGGCCAUAUAAAGGGUAACUAUUCAAGUACAAAUUUCAUUAAAUCACAAUACGAAAAUCUCUCGCAUCUUUUUUUAUCAUGAUAGUUAUAAAUUUAUAAUGUACAUCAGUAAUUGCCAUCACGGUUAUUUAACUGUGGUAAGUAUAAAUAAGAUUAUUAUUGCUGGCGUGCAAAUGAUAAGUUAUUUAUUUAUGUUAAAUAUAAGUUUGCAGGAAGGGCUACUCCCAACAGCAGUAGCAGUUGAACCCGGAGCAAUGGCUGAGAUGAAAUUCUUCCCUCCUACAUUCCAUUUUACAAUAAGACAGACUCAGGCAAAAUUCCAGGUAUUUACACUGCUCGUUAUUGUAAGCUUCUGUAUGCUGCACUGUCUCUUCUGCACAUCAAUACAUAUUGGUUAGUUAACUUGUCAAAAUUAGUACAACAACAUAUAUAAUAUAAAUAUAUAUAUAUAUAUAUAUAGAGAGAGAGAGAGAGAGAGAGAGAGAGAGAGAAGCACGAGAAGCAAGAAGGAUGAUGAACAGAAAAACAAGCCCAAGAUUGAACUUCUUAUCCAUGUUUUCUCUUCAAUUUUUAACUGAGUUGUAGCAAUACAUGUAUAUAUAUAUAUAUAUAUAUAUAUAUAUAUAUAUAUAUAUGUAGGGUAUGGAUUUAAAGGAUUUGUCAAGGCUCCGUCAUGAUUUAGAGCUAGCUUACAAGUUAUAAGGUUGCAUUGAUUAAUUGCCAUAAGAAGAAAAUUUAUCAACUAAUGCCAAUUUAAUUAUAACUUGUUUUCGAAAAAUUGGAUAUAUGGAUCUAAACCCAUUGGCUAUGAGUCGGUCUGACCAAUUUUAUUGCACUCCUACAAAUAACAGCUUUUACACUGUAAGGCAACUCUGAUGUGCCUUCCGGGGAAAAAAAAAAAAAAAAAAAACAGAGGAAAUAAAUCCCAAUUUUUAUUCUGUUUAUUUUGUAAGCCUUCAAUUUUUGCUGUUGUUUAGUAAUGUGAUGCACAGUUCUGUUUCAAAUAGUGGACCACAUGCUACUCUCUUUUAUUCCCACAAUUAUUUUAGUUACUGACAUCGAAGUAUCAAUUUAUCUUAAAUUCUUAUCAAUAUCAUUUUUCGUUCGAAAAAAAAAAAGAACUUACGUUGGACUUCCUUUUAGUAUACUAAACUUGCUCGAAGUUUAUAAAAAAUAAUCUUGUUAUAUGGAAAAAUUAGAUAGGAUUAUGUCAACACACAUUGGCUAACUCUUUCAAUUUUUUCGACAAAAAAAGAAAGAACUCUUUCAACCUUUGUAGUUUAGGCACUUUAGUGCGCAACGUCAUUUCUCAUGGGAAGUUUAGUGCAUAAUUAUCAUGUUUGUUAUGAAAAAUUUACUUGAAAAAGAAAAAGGAAAAAAAGAAAUGGGGUGAGAUCGGUAAACUGAGAAGUGUAGUAGUUGCCUUCUAGCCGCCACGAGCACUUUUCUCUCACACAUCGCAACCAAAAAAAAGAAAAAAUGGGGUUUUUGUGAAUCGGUGAGGAUCCGGCAAUAAUUCGUGAAUCAUAUUCGUUUAUCGUACAUCGUACGGUCAUAAAUUAUUUUAAAUAUUUUUAUUUCAAAUUAAAUACAAACAAUAUCUGAUAAAAACUGAUCGUACGAUAUACGAUAUACGAUGAAUUGACACGAUUUAUGGAUCCCCAGAUCCUCACCAAAAGGAUCCGGAAAGGAUCCUGUUUGUGGUUGUAAUGCAUGGCUAGCAGACUUAUUUAAUUGUGGUAAAUAUAUAAUAAGAUUUAUCGCUAGCACACAAAUGAUUUAAUUUGCAGGGAGCAUUAGUCCCAACAGCAGUUCAACCCGGAGCAAUGGCUGCGAGGAUAGCUCGCCCUUGUGCAGUCGAUAUCACACUGGGACGGCAUUGUGCAUAGUCCUCACUAGCAAAAACGCCCACGCUCUGUUGCGAGAAAUACCACCAAGUAUAAUCUUAUACAAUCUAAUUGUUUUUGUUAUUCCUAUUUCUUUUUGACAUCGUGUGCGGAAAAUGCCACAAGUAUAAUCUUAUACGAUCUAAUUGUUUUUGUUAUUCCUACUUCUUUUUGGCAUUGUGUGCAAAAAAACGUAAACUCCAAGCAACAAAUUGAUAGCUGAGAAGAAACAAAUGACCAACAACAACAAAGCCUUUUCCCACUAAGUGGGGUCGGCUAUAUGAAUUCUAGAACGCCAUUGCGCUCGGUUUUGUGUCAUGUAUCCAAGUACUCUAAAUCUUUUCUUAGGGUCUCUUUCAAAGUUUUCCUAGAUCUUCCUCUACCCCUUCGACCCUGAACCUCUAUCCCGUAGUCACAUCUUCGAACCAGAGCGUCAGUAGACCUUCUUUGCACAUGUCCAAACCCAUUUUGUGUACGUGUUGAUGCUUCACCGCCCAACAUUCUGUGCCAUACAGCAUCGCCGGCCUUAUUGCUGUCUUAUAAAAUUUUCCCUUGAGCUUCAGUGGCCUACAACGGUCACACAACACGCCGGAUGCACUCUUCCACUUCAUCCAUCUAACUUGUAUUCUAUGGUUGAGAUCUCCAUCUAAUUCUCCGUUCUUUUGCAAGAUAGAUCCUAGGUAGCGAAAACGGUUGCUCUUUGGUAUUUCCUGAUCUCCGAUCCUCACCCCUAACUCAUUUUGGCCUUCAUUUGCACUGAACUUGCACUCCAUAUAUUCUGUCUUUGAUCGGCUUAGGCGAAGACCUUUAGAUUCCAACACUUCUCUUCAAAGGUUAAGCUUCGCAUUUACCCCUCUUGAGUUUCAUCUAUCAACACUAUAUCGUUUGCGAAAAGCAUACACCAAGGAAUAUCAUCUUGAAUAUGUCCUGUUAACUCAUUCAUUACCAACGCAAAAAGGUAAGGACUUAAGGAUUGUUGAUGCACAAAAUCAGUAAGGACUUUGGUACAACAGAAAGUAUUAAGUUUGUGAUCUUCGCUAGAUUGCUCUGGUCAUUAGUGUGGAUAAGUAUGUAAAUAGAUAGAGACAGGAAAGCAAACACAAGAUGUAUGUGGUUCACCCAAAUUGGCUACAUCCACGGAGUAGAGGAGUUCUCAUUAAUUGUGAAGGGUUUACACAAGUACAUAGGUUCAAGCUCUCCUUUAGUGAGUACAAGUAAAUGAUUUAGUACAAAUGACAUUAGGAAAUAUUGUGGGAGAAUGAUCUCGUAAUCACGAAACUUCUAAGUACCGAAGUGUGGUAUCGUCUUCACUUGCCUUAUCUGUCUCAUAGGUAGAUGUGACAUCUUCUCUGGAAGUACUCUUCCUCCAUCCAGGGGUGGUAUCUUUAACUGGUGGAGAUGCACAAGGUAAUGUAUCAAUUUCACUUGAAGCUUACUUGUAGUUUCAGGCUUGGUUAAGCGCGAUACAAACCAUGUAAUAGAAGUCCCCCAAGUCGCCGCGCUAGAGGAUCUGCUGAAAGAGGUGACAGAUAAAGUAAGCAAUCAGAGCUCCAAGCAAUCAGUCACAUAUCAGAAGUUUGAUUUCGAGUUCUGGCUGAUUGUUCUCAUUCUCCCUAUCUUGCAGGCAGCAUGAAUGAUAAAGAGAAGAAAAAGGAGAAUACAUGAUAUGAGAUACUUUUGCUUUUGAAGAAGUAACUUUCCACAGGCUUAUUCUUGAACUGAGCUGGAGGGAUUUCUGGUUUCCUCCAGAGUAUAAGGCCGACUGAAGAAUUUGAGGGUCAAAACAAGUCCAUCAAAUCUAGAGUACGUUCGACCUGCUAAUAUGAGAUACUUUUGCUGUUGACAAAGUAGUGAAUGUAUCGACACGUGUUCUGUUACGCUUGUCUCCACAUGCUUCCUUGUAACCUUCUCACUUUUCUUAUUUGUUCCUCAGGCAGAUGUGGUAUCUUCUUUGGAAGCAUAAGAUGUUGAAGAUGAGUACUCGAGAGCAAUGCCAGGUAAGUAAUCAGGUAAGGGGUUCCAGGCAGUCAGUUCCUAACUGGAAGCUUGAUUCCAAGUGUUGACUGAUUGCUCUCUUUCUCCUUGUCUUGCAGGUAAAAACAAGGCCAAAGGAAAAGACAGGGAAAAAACAUGAUAUGGGAUACUCUUGCUUUUAACCCUGAUGAUAUAAGAUAUUCUUGCUCUGGUGUAGCUUGUUUGUAGAGGUAUUAUCGGGGGGAAAGAAAGCUGAGUAUUUCGAGAGGCUUCGUUGGGAGUGCCCUCUCAGAUAUGAGGAAGGGUUGAGCAUUUUUGCAGGUCUAUCUGUCCGUUGAGGAUGGAAGUCGACAUAUAUAGGAGUCUCUCUAACAAUAAGUAGUAAUGAUAUUCCUUUACCCUGCUUGGUCAUAGCAGGGUAGUGGGAGCUGCCAGCUUCACGUGUGUCAGAACACUUUGAAAAAGUGGUCUGUGGUAUUUGGAAAACUGAUGUUGCGUGUGAAGAUUACAGACAAGCUUUAUCCAAGAAGAUCUGGCUCUCGAAGUUGAGAAAGCGAUGCCUCUUCGGUUUUCGAACAAGCAAUUCUAUCGGGGAUCUGGCUCUCGAGAUUCGGAGAACGGUGCCUCUUCGAUUUUUGAGAAAGCAAUCUUGCUGGGAGUCUGGCUCUCUAGAUUCGGAAAGCGGUGUUUCUUCGAUUUUUGAGAAAGUAAUCAUGUUGGGAGUCUGGCUCUCGAGAUUCGGAGGGCGGUACCUCUUCGAUUUUGGAGCAAGCAAUCUUGUUGGGAGUGUUUUCUCGAAUAUGAGUAAAGGUUGGGCAUGUUUGCUAGUCUACCUUGCCACGGAACACAGAGGUUGACACACAGGGACUUUCCAAUUAUCCAGCAGUGGUGCUGUUCCUUUACCCUUGUGGGUAAUAAUAUGGUAGCUAGACCUUCAAAAUUUAUGUGUCUAAACUUUGUUAGUGCUGUUUCUUUGUUAUUCUUUUACCCUUCUUGGUCAUAGCGAUGUAGUGAGAGCUUCAAGCUUCACGUGUCUAAACUUUGUCAGAGAUCUUUGGCAAAGUUAUCUGUGGUACCCAUGAGCUGAUGAUGUAUGUGGAAAGUGGAUGAUUGAACAGUAAGAUUCACGUGCUUUCUACUUUACCAGAAAUCUUCAACAGAAUGCCUGUAAUUUCAGCAAAGCUGAGUAUGCAUGUGAUAGGUAUUGACAAGGCUGAAAAAAGCAGGUGUCUCUUCGAUUUCUGAGAUCGGCCCUCGUGGUCUCUGAGCAGCCCAGCUUUUGAGAAAGCAAGCACCUCUUUGAUUUCUGAGAUCGGCCUUCGUGGUCUUUGAGCAGCCCAGCUUUUGAGAAAGCAAACGCCUCUUCGAUUUCUGAGAUCGGCCCUCGUGGUCUCUGAGCAACCCAGCUUUUGAGAAAGCAAACGCCUCUUCGAUUUCUGAAGAUCCGUCGAGUACAAAUUUUUAUAGAGGUGGGCAUUAAGUUCCAAAGCACACUUGAAUCUCCACCAGUAGAAGCUCAUUUCUUGCACUUCUAAGAUCUUGAUUUGUCCGACCUCUUCUCUCUUCAACACCUUUGAAAAUGUCUGGCCCCUCCGACCGUCGUUUUGACUUAAACCUUGUUGAAGAGGUAGCCACGCCUUCUCCAGACAACAUAUGGCGCCCAUCCUUCUUAUCCCCUACUGGUCCUCUUAUCGUUGGGGAUUCCGUGAUGAAGAAUGAUAUGAUCGCUGCGGUGGUGGCCAGGAACCUUCUCACUCCCAAAGAUAACAGACUACUUUCCAAACAGUCUGAUGAGUUGGUUGUUAAAGAUUCUUUGACUCUGAGUGUUCAGUGUGCAAGUUUUAUGUCUAAUAUGGCCCAACGCCUAUUUGCUCGAACCCGCCAAGUGGAAUCAUUGGCGGCUGAAGUGAUGAGUCUCAAACAGGAGAUUAAAGGGCUCAAGCAUGAGAAUAAACAGUUGCACCGGUUCGCACAUGACUAUGCUACAAACAUGAAGAGGAAGCUUGACCAGAUGAAGGAAUCUGAUGGUCAGGUUUUACUUGAUUAUCAGCGGUUUGUGGGUUUGUUCCAAAGGCAUUUAUUGCCUUCGUCUUCUGGGGCUGUACCGCGUAUUGAAGCUCCAAAUGAUCAACCUCCGAUGCCUCAUCCUUCUAGGGUUCUGUCCAGUACUGAGGCUCCAAAUGAUCCCCCUCUGGUGCAUUCUCUUUAUGGGGCUCUACCGACUGCUGAGACUUCUCUUAAGCAACCUUUGUGAAGGCUCCCUCUUGUUUGUUUAUUUUGACUCAUGUAUAUGUACAUAUUUGUAACUUAUCGGAGAUAUCAAUAAAUAAGUUUUGCUUCAUUUCAACGUAUUGUGUUAGAUACACCAAGCCUUCUUCACUGGGUGGGGUCGGUUAUAUGAAUCUUAGAACGCCAUUGUGCUCGGUCCUGUGUCAUGUCCUUCGUUAGAUCCAAGUACUCUAAGUCUUUUCUUAGAGUCUCUUUCAAAGUUUUAAUAGGUCUUCCUCUACCCCUUCGGCCCUGAACCUCCGUCCCGUAGUCGCAUCUUCUAACCGGAACGUCAGUAGACAUUUUUUGUACAUGUAUAAACCACCGUAACCGAUUUUCUCUCAACUUUCCUACAAUUUCGGCUACUCCUACUUUACCUCGGAUAUCCUCAUUCCUAAUCUUAUCCUUUCUCGUGUGCCCACACAUCCAACGAAGCAUCUUCAUCUCCGCUACACCCAUGUGUUGAUGCUUCACCGCCCAACAUUCUGUGCCAUACAGCAUCGCUGCCUUAUUGCCGUCCUAUAAAAUUUUCCCUUAAGCUUCAGUGGCAUACGGCGGUCACACAACACGCCAGAUAUACUCUUCCACUUCAUCCAUCCAGCUUGUAUUCUAUGGUUGAGAUCUCUAUCUAAUUCUCCGUUCUUUUGCAAGAUAGAUCCUAAGUAGCUAAAACGAUUGCUCUUUGGUAUUUCCUGAUCUCCGAUCCUCACCCCUAACUCAUUUUGGCCUCCAUUUGCACUGAACUUGCACUCCAUAUAUUUUGUCUUUGAUUGGCUUAGGCGAAGACCUUUAGAUUCCAACAUUUCUCUCCAAAGGUUAAGCUUCGCAUUUACCCCUUCCUGAGUUUCAUCUAUCAACACUAUAUCGUCUGCGAAAAGCAUACACCAAGGAAUAUCAUCUUGAAUAUGUCUUGUUAACUCAUCCAUUACCAACGCAAAAAGGUAAGAACUUAAGGAUGAGCCUUGAUGUAAUCCUACAGUUAUGGGAAAGCUUUCGGUUUGUCAUUCAUGAGUUCUUACGGCAGUCUUUACUCCUUCAUACAUAUCCUUUAUAGCUUGGAUAUAUGCUACUCGUACUCAUUUCUUCUCUAAAAUCCUCCAAAGAAUGUCUCUUGGGACCCUAUCAUACGCUUUUUCCAAAUCUAUAAAGACCAUGUGUAAAUCCUUUUUCCCAUCUCUAUAUCUUUCCAUCAAUCUUCGUAAGAGAUAGAUUGCCUCCAUGGUUGAGCGCCCUGGCAUGAACCCGAAUUGGUUGUCCGAAACUCGUGUCUCUUGCCUCAAUCUAUGCUCAAUGACGCUCUCCCAGAGCUUCAUUGUAUGACUCAUUAGCUUAAUACCCCUAUAGUUCAUGCAAUUUUGUACGUCACCCUUAUUCUUGUAGAUAGGCACCAAAGUGCUCUUUCGCCACUCAUUUGGCAUCUUCUUCGUUUCAAAAUCCUAUUAAAAAGGUCAGUGAGCCAUGUUAUACCUGUCUCUCCCAAGACUUUCCACACUUCGAUCGGUAUAUCGUCUGGGCCCACUGCUUUUCUGUGCUUCAUCUUCUUCAAAGCUAUAACCACUUCUUCCUUCCUGAUUCGACGAUAAAAAAAGUAGUUUCUACACUCUUCUGAGUUACUCAACUCCCCUAAAGAAGUACUCAUUUCGUGUCCUUCAUUGAAAAGAUUAUGAAAAUAACCUCUCCAUCUGUCUUUGACCGCGUUCUCUAUAGCAAGAACCUUUCCAUUAUCAUCCUUGAUGCACCUCACUUGGUUUAGGUCCCUUGUCUUCUUUUCCCUUGCUCUAGCUAGUUUAUAGAUAUCCAACUCUCCUUCUUUGGUAUCUAGUCGCUUAUACAUAUCGUCAUAAGCUGCUAACUUAGCUUCUCUCACAGCUUUCUUCGCCUCUUACUUCGCUCUUCUAAACCUUUCACCAUUUUCAUCGGUCUUGUCCUUGUAUAAGGCUUUACAACAUUCCUUCUUAGCCUUCACCUUUGUUUGUACCUCCUCAUUCCACUACCAAGAUUCAUUUUGGUGUGGAGCAAAGCUUGUGGACUUUCCUAAUACCUCUUUUGCUACUUUUCGGAUACAACUAGCCAUGGAAUCCUACAUUUGGCUAGCUUCCCCCUUUCUAUCCCACACACACUGGGUGAUUACUUUCUCUUUGAAAAUGGCUUGUUUUUCUCCUUUUAGAUUCCACCAUCUAGUCCUUGGGCACUUCCAAGUCUUGUUCUUUUUUCUCCCUCUUUUGAUAUGUACAUCUAUCACCAACAAACGAUGUUGAUUAAGCAAGCUCUCUCCCGGUAUAACUUUGCAAUCCUUACAAGUUAUACGAUCCCCUUUCCUCAUUAGAAGAAAAUCUAUUUGUGUUUUUGACGACCCACUCUUGUAAGUGAUCACAUGUUCUUCUCUCUUCUUAAAGAAGGUGUUGGCUAAGAAGAGAUCAUAUGCCAUUGCACAAUCCAAGAUAGCUUCCUCAUCCUCAUUUCUCUCCCCAAAACCAUGGCCACCAUGAAAACCUCCAUAGUUGCCUAUCUCCCUGCCCACGUGUCCAUUUAAAUCUCCUCCUAUAAAUAACUUCUCCGUUUGGGCAAUUCCUUGCACCAAGUCUCCAAGGUCUUCCCAAAAUUUCUCCUUCGAACUCGUAUCCAACCCUACUUGAGGUGCGUACGCACUAAUCACAUUGAUGAGUUCUUGUCCUAUUACAAUCUUGAUUGCCAUGAUUCUAUUUCCUACCCUCUUGACAUCUACAACAUUUUGUGUCAAGGUCUUGUCCACGAUGAUGCCAACACCGUUUCUUGUUCUAUUUGUGCCCGAAUACCAAAGUUUAAACCCUGAGUUUUCUAGAUCCUUUGCCUUAAGACCAACCCACUUAGUUUCUUGUAUGCACAUAAUAUUUAUCAUUCUCCUCACCAUAACUUCCAUUACUUCCAUAGAUUUUCCCGUUAAGGUUCCUAUAUUCCACGUUCCUAAACGCAUUCUACUCUCUUGAACUCUACCCUUCUGUCCUAGCUUCUUCACCCUCCCCCGUCAAAUAGGAUCAAAGUACUUCUUUUGUGUGUCCUGUGUAAAGUUGAUAGGAGCAUAUGCUCCCAAACAACUUUGAGUGAAGUUGUUCGAAAAGAAGUUUCUAUGACCCCCUUGCUCAUUUAACACUGCAUCCGGGUGCUGAUGGAGAUACAGCGACCCUUGCUCACUUAUCACUGUGCUCGGGCCACACAGCGCGCCACUUACGGGUGACGCCCUAGCUUUAGGACGAUUUCGUUCUGGAUUCAUUUUCAUAAGGAUUCGACGUAACCGAGGAGUGCUGGCUGUCGACUACCUGACGCCCUCCCCCUCCUCCUUUACCCGGGCUUGAGACCGGCAAUGUAAGAUAAACCUACACAAACGGAGUUUGAGAAGAAACAAAUGACCGCGUAAAUUAAAUUUCAAAUCUUCCAUCACACCUAUAUUGUAAUUGGAGCAAAAAUAAAAAACCUAAAUUGUAAUUAGCUAAGGCACCCUUGAUUCUUUUCCAGUGAACCACCAAAUUUUGCCGAAAAGCAAAGCGUUUCGCUGGAUAGAGUGCUCAUUAUUCACUUAUGCUUGUAAAACCAACAAAAGGGUAAUUUCGCAUUCUCCAUAAUUAUACUUAAUGCCAAUAUGCAUAGCUAAUAUACUAUGUUAAUAUACUUAAGUUACCACUAAGUCUUUUAAGAAACAUUGGUAAUUCAUAGAAUAUGCAACUUUAUCCAUUAGAUUCACAAGUUCAUGGUGUGAGACAUUUCAUAGACCCCAUAUCAAGAUUGAGGAAGUACAAGUAGUGAUCUUAAACAUUCAUGGUAAGCUUUGAUCAGUUUCAGCGCCCGCACAAGCCUUCAAGCAGCGGCACUGGCGAAGGAUAUGGGAGCAUUUGCCAUAACCGUGACCCUCACUUCGGCAUCUCACGAUACAGUUGGCGUCUUUGAAGCAUAGCCCUCUGAAUGUUUUGCUUGGCUCUUCACAAAUCCUUGCUUCACUGUGCAUCACCAUCUCUUCUGUAUAUAUUACUUUAGUUAAUUAUGUACUUCUCAACAUGCAUGUAAAAAAUCAUGCGAAAGUUUAACUACAUUCAUAUGCGUAUAUAUAUUAUUGUCUAAUAUUUAAGGAAGUCCACACAGUUUUGAAUUUAUAUAGUUUUGAAGGGAUGCCCUUGAACGAGGACUUAAUAUGCUGACAGUUCCAUCGUUAACCAUUAACAUGAUAUUCCAAACAAAUAUUGAGAGAGAAACUUACGAGAAGUUAGAAGGAUGAUAAAGAAGAGAACAAGACCAAAGAAGUUCCUCUCCAUGCCUUAAUCUUCAGAUUUUCAAGUCUUCUGCAAAUACUAAUGUUACUGAGUUACUCCCUCUCUCUCUCUCUCUCUCUCUCUCUCUGCGUGUGUAUAUAUAUACACAUAUAGUACUACGUCAUGUUUUUUUUUUUUUUCCACAUUCUAGACACAUCAUCAUAUGAUACACAUAUACCAUUUAAACCUUGGUUACAGGUGGAUCUAAGAGUUUAUGGUGUCUUCCUUUAGUGUGGACAUGUGUUCGGUUAGCAACAAAAGCCGCAUGCGUUGUCAACUGGAUAGGAGAACGUAUACGUGCAUGGAACGAAGAGCUAUCUGGGUUCAUCCAAGAAGAGCCAUCUCUGGACUUUCACGAUUUCACAUUUGAAGAGUAAUCAAAUAGCUAAAUAUUAGAAAACAAACUAAAGAACACAUGUCAAUACAAUAAAAUUUAGAAAAGAAACUAAAAUAACACAUUUCAGUACAAACUUAUCCCAACUGAGUACAGUCGACCUCUCUCUCUCUCUCUCUCUCGAUGGGGAGAUUCGAAAAGAAAAAAAAAAAAACUGUAUGAGAUUUUUAUCAUAAAUGGUCCGGAAAUUAACAUCAUCCCUCAAUUGAUUAACAUCACCAAUUGGUUAAUACAAUCAUUAGAACGCAGCUAGGGAAAUCAGCAAUAAUGACACUAUUACAAUGAACUCUUACAAAAUUGAAACCAAGUUGUAAUAGCUAUAAACGUGACUCAUUUUGAAUUAUUUUUGGACGCAGAAAGAUUACCCUUUACUUAAUUUUUGCUUUUAGACACAAAGAUAACGACAACACAAUAUAAUAUAAUGACAACUUAAACAUAUUUUGACAUGUUAUUAUGAUGAUCAAUGUUUAUAAUGUCAGUAUCAUCAAUGUGUUUUCAAUAUAUAAUAGACAAAAUAUUUUAUUACAGAAAUGAUGAUCAAUGUUUAUAUUGUCAAUAUCAUCAAUGUGUUUUCAAUAUAUAAUAAAUAUAUUAUCGUUAUUGAUUAUUUCAGUAUGCUUACCCUAUAUAUUAUUUCUUUUUCUACUAUUCCGGGAACAAAAUUUUUGUCAUACGGUAAUCGGUAAAAAUAGUUGUAGUUUUGCAAGUAUGAUGCCAUAUAUUGUUCUGGGGCAAGUAUUUAGCAUAGAACGCUUCUGCGUACUGAAUUAAUACUCUGGUAGAGGAAAAAAAUUUAGUACUGAAAAUACGGUUCGGUACAUAUCAUAAUACAAUUGAUUAAAAACGUCAAAAUUUUUUUUUAACAAUUUAUAUUGUAACUUUGGUAUAUAUAUCGAGUUAUGUUUCUGGCAUAUUGAAACAUUUCGCUAUACAGCAGAAGAAGUUGGAAACUGAAAAGCUCUUAUUCAGAGAGCUUAUUAAUCCUUGGAUCAUAUAUAUUUGAGUUACCAAGGAGUUCUCGAUUUGAACAACCUACAAAGUUGGCCCUUAUAUUUUUGACGUCCGGCCGACGCCAAAAUGAGGCUGAUUAUUUAUCUAAUUAUAAUAUAUUCAGGACAUGGGAUCGACGUCUGGAGCUUAAUUUAUGGUGAGGUUUCAGUUCCAUGAGUAGUUUCACUUUCAGCUAGCCGCCCACAAGCCUUUAGGCACCGGCACUGACGCAGGACAUGGGAGCAUUUGCCGUAACCGAAACCCUCACUGUGGCAUUUCACGAUACAAUGGGUAUCGCUGAAGCAUAACCCUCUGAAUGUUUUGCUUGGAACUUCACAAACCCUAGCUUCACUGUGCAUCACCAUCUCGUCUGUACAAAAAUAUUAAAAAUCUCAGUUAACUAUUAAUUACUUUCCAAGUUUCGAAGAUAUAUAUGUGAAAGAUUGUGUGACAAUUUGACUAGAUCCUACUUAAUUAGAAUUAUGUUAAAAUUCAUCAAAAUACUAAUUUCGAUCCAUAUCACAUGUUACAACUGUAUGUAUAAAAUUUUGAGGAGGGAGAGAGGGAGACUUACUAGAAGUUAAGAGGAUGAUGAAGAACAAAACAAGACCAAAGUAGUUCCUCUCCAUGGCUUAAGUCUUCAGAUUUUCAAGUGCCUUCUACCACCAAUAUUAUCACUCUCUCUUCCAACAUUGCAUCUGUAUAGACGGGUUUAUAUAAAGCUUCCAAGCACAUGUCAUGUAUUGUUUCGAGACCCUGCUUUUUUAUAUCGACAUAGAUUCAUCAGCACAUCUGAUAAUAAAGAAAAAUGAAUUUUGGUUACAGGUGGAUCUAAAUUUGCAAUGGCUUUCGCCAGGUGUGGUCAUGUGUUGGUUCGGCUAUAUGCGUUGUCAAGUGCAUGAGAGUAUAUAUGUGCAUGGACAUGGAGGAACAGCCAUCUGGAUCCAUGAUAUAUACUAUUCGAACAAUCAUGCAUGCAGCUUCACUCCUAUCCAAUUCACUAAUAAUACAGUUCUUUUCAGAAUUGAAGGGAAUUAUUGGUCGAACAUAAUGUAUUAAUUUCCAAACGUUGUUCAAAUUAAUUUCUUUUACUUUUACUAAAAUGUUGUUGAUUAUAAGUAUCUUGAUCUGAACUUUUCUACCAUCGUCCUUUGAGUUUUUUAGUGUUUUAUCUUCUAUUACUUAAGAAACGGUAAUUUUAAUUAUUUUGUUUUUGUCAAAGGUAAUUUUAAUUAUUGGGAUCUAACAAUCUCUUACUCAACACAUCGUCUCCAUACUACAUCUUAUCUUGUUAUUUCGGCAUUGCUAAAAGAGUGACAUUAUUGCUAAAAACGUAAUAAAAAGUCAAAAGAGUGAUGCUACGUUUAUCAUAUAUUAAUUUAUUUUAUCUUUAAAAUAGAGAUAGGGUCUAGCAACACAUAUGUAGGUCUUAUUUCUAGUAUAAAGAUGAUACAAAUAUGUGGUAAGAGUAACAUUUUUUAAGUUAAACCAUGAGCUGGUGGUCCAGUGGUAAAUGGUAGAUUGCGAGGCUUCCUUCAAACUAAAAACUGGAGUCUCGGGUUCGAAACCCGCUACCGGUGUGGAAGCCAGACUUUUGGCCAGAAUGAGGCUGAAAUGCAUCUGUGAGUCUUCCCGGCCCCCGGACUGAGUGGAUAACCGUGGCUUACCACCAGUUGUCCCCAUUUCAAAAAAAAAACAUUUUUGAAGUAAAAAAAUUUGACCUUUCCUUGUAUUGUCCACUCCAUGUUAAAGUCCAAUUCUCAAACCCUCCUCCCCGUCCUGACUAUUUCUAUAUUAUGUGAAAUUGGGAGUUUUCUCCCCAACACCAUCCACCCGCCCAGCGCCUAUAUUAGUGAAUGUUUUUAUAUUUUUUAGUCGGUAACUAGCAUUAAUUAGUGAUUAGUUGUUACUUAAUUAGUAUUAUGAUCUUGUGAUAUUUAUCUCUGCUUGAGAUUUUAGGUCCAACUCAUAUAGAUAUAUAACGAAUUUGAUACUAAAUUAUUAUGAAUGACUCAUUGUAUGCAUUAGGCCCUAUAUCCCUUCUGCCUCUUAGCGUAAAUAUUUCGUUAUACUACUCCAUUGAAAUUUAUUAGCAUUGCAUUUAAGUUAAAUGAUAUUAAUUGAUUUUGUUUUUAAAUGUUGCGGAUAUUCAAAAUAAAACCUAUAUAAUCUAUUUACUAUAUACUAAAACAGAAAUAUUAAGAAAACUCUCUCAAAGUAGAAUUCUCCAUAAACUCUCUGUGACAUCAUGUUUUUGGCACAAUUCCCAUGCCAAAUCAUGUCAGAUCGAAACAUGAAGUGGCAGAGAGUCCACAGAAAGUCCUACAUUUGAGAGAGUCUUUAGCAUUAUUCAUAUUAAAAUAACUCUUUUCAAUCAAAAGAAGUUGAAAUGAUGAUAUGAAUAAUGUUAAGGAGAAUAAAUUUGUAUACAAAAAUUAGUAAACUAAAUGAUUCGGAAGUCGGUGAAUUUUUGUAUUUAUUUGAAAAGUCAUGAGUAUUAUAGUAAUUUUAUUUUAAUGUUAUCACCCUCUCUCUCUCUCUCUCUAUCUCUCUCUCUCUCUCUCUCUCUCUCUCUCUCUCUCUCUCUCUCUCUCUCUCUCUCUCUCUCUCUCUCUCUCUCUCUCUCUCUCUCUCUCUCUCUCUCUCUCCAUUCCCUGUUUUUUCUCUUUAUUAUUUAUCAUGACACUUCCUCCAAAUUCCAAUAAAAUCUUCCUAAGCCCAUGCGUAGCAUGUGUGGAAGUUACUAGUACCUCUCAAACUCAACCUAUUUGUUAAUAACCUAUUAUGGUUAGUUUUAUUAUUUGUUAGAUUGAGUUGUAAUUAGCUAAUUAGCUUUAUUAGUUAAGUCUAGUUAUUACGCUAAGAAGUAUAUAAUCUUUCAUAUUUGUUAUGACUCUUACAGAAUGAAUGAAAGAUUCAUUUUCUCGUUCAUCUCUCUUCUCUCUCUGUAGGAUGUGCUUACCGUUUCUCUUCGAUCCUUUUGUUCGACGUUGAACAAGUUAUAUCACAAUUAUAUUGCACUCAGAGCUGGAAAAAUACAGAGUAGAAUACAUUUAGCCACCCAUGGAUACAAGGCUGUUUGGCUUCAUAUUCUUGCUGCUUCUUUCCUCAACUUCUCGUAAGUCUCUCUCAUUACCAAGUUUACACUUUCCUUCUUUUGUAUCUGUAGAGGGAAGGUAGAACAUCGAAGGAAAAUAAUCUCUAAUACAGUUUUUCCCUUCUUUUUUUUAUAUAGAAAGAAAAAUGAGUACACGGUUAAGUAAAUAUAUAGGGGAUCACUCAACCUCUAACCAGUUAGUAUUUUAAUAUGAAAUUAACCACUUGUUUGAACUUACUGAACAAUAUUUUGCAUAAUAUGACCCGAUCAAUUUUUAGGUUACUAUUGAAAUUAAGAUCAUGCAUGCAAAAAUUCACUAAAAUCAGAAGCUGUUUAUUUGUCUAAUUGUUGCAUGACAAUAGAUGAAGUCAAAGUUGUCAAUAAGCAAUGAAAUGUUCACAAUAAUAAUUGAAGAGCCAAAUAAUGAUAUUCUAAAUUAAAUUUGAACGAUUCGAAUCAUGAUAGUACAUUGUGGAAUGGGCUCAAACAAGUUGUCAGCGCUAUCGCUCCUCCCUCCAUAUAUAUAGGAUGCAACCCGAAUCCACCCAUGCUCAAUCUGGUGUCAAGUCCGAUCUAACAUGUUAAAAUAAAGUAAAAACCCAUCCAAAUCUAACUUGACUUCAACCCGAUCAUCUAUAUUAGUUGAAAUUCAAUUGUACACAUUUUAAUUAAUUUUUUUCUUUCCAUUUUUUGUCAUGCAUUAAAUUUUUACGUAAUGAGAAGCACCUCUUCCAAUAAACUUAAUCAAAUUGAGUAUAGGGCUUUCAAUGUUGUAAAGAGUCUUACGGUUAAUUAAAUAAUUGUAGUUUCUUAUGGUACUUAUACUUAAUGCAGAAAUUGCAGUGGCAGCGACGGACUUAUGCAGGACCGACGAUAGCAAAACAUGGGGCGGUGGGAGAAAAUGUUUUACCCAUAUGCACAACGUCGAGUGCAAAAAAAAUUGCAAAGAGGAGGGUCACGUGACGGGGUGGUGCACGUGGUAUAACUGGUGGUCAUGUUCCUGCCACGACUAUUGUGAUGCCAUCGAUUGUCAUGGUUGGCAAGAUUUGUUUCAGAGAUGCGCGCCAAACCCACCAUAAUUCGAUCUAGGUGUUGAUGCAUGCUACCUUCAUAAGAAUCUUUAAAAUGGGAUUUCGCUUCAUUGUUCAUGAAACGAGAUAAUUUGUAUUUUGUGUGUGUUUCAUUUUAUCAUUAUGCACUCGUUAUUGGUGAGAAAAAUAAAAAAAUUAAAUAGUGCACGAUAUAUGUUUUGAAAUGUUAAUUAAUAUCAAACAGUUCUCAAAAUAAAUUGUUUACUCAUGUAACCACGCCAAAUUAGAAUGAAAUUAAUAUUAAAAAAGACUAACAAAAAUUAAAACUCAAGCACUGACUUUAUUUAUUAUUAAUCUCAAUGAUUCAUCAUAUACACUUUAUACAUCUUAUAUAUCAAGAUUAAUGAAGGGGAGCUAGCUAAAAUUAAUAUUCAUGAAAUUUCAUGAGUAGUUUGAUCCAGGUCACAAGGUUUAUAGAACAUGCACCGGCGUAGGACAUGUGAGCAUUUGCCGUAACCAUACCCCUCGCUGUGGCGUCUCACCAUGCAGUUCCUCUGUAUGAUGCAUAUCCCUUUGAAUGUUUUACUUGGCUCUGAACAAAUCUUUGCUUCACUGUGCAUCACCAUCUCUCCUGCAUAUAAUCAAUAAGUAUUCCAACCUUUUAACUAAAUUCUAAUGCAAAUAUAUUAGCAUAUAUAUGUAACUUUUUUUCAAUUGAGAGAGAGAGAGAGAGAGACUUACGAGAAGUUAUAAGGAUGAUCAUAAAGAACAAAACAAGACCAAAGUUUCUCUCCAUGUCUUAAUCUUCAAAUUUUUAAUUUACCUUCUACCAAUAAUGUUAUUUUCUAUCUGUCAAUGAUGUACAUGUGUAGCCUGUUUAUCUCUAUUUACAUGUAUAUAAAGUAUCAAAUCACACGUCACGUAUGGUUUCCAAAACCUUACUUUUUAGUAGCAUGGAUUUACUUAAGGAUUUGGUAAUUAAAGAAGAUCUAUUCAGAUCCACUUUGAUAUUGAUAUUGAUUACUGGUGGAUCUAAAGUUUACAAUGGCUUUCAUCGAUUGGAGGAUAGUGUACAUGUAGAUACCAAAUUAGGUUACUUAUUGUAUAGCUUAACCAAACUUUUUUUUGUUUUUUAGAAUAAAAUAUAUUGUUGUACUAAAACAGAAGAUGCUCUAAGCCAUUAAUUAUCUAUGGCAAUCGUAACCGGUUACGGCUUUUAGUUUAGUUUUUUUUUUUUUUUUUUGAAAAACGAUAUUAUAUACCCUAAGGGGAAGAGAGUGGGCUUUAAUCUCGCAAUAAUGGGUUCAGAUUCGCCUUUAGCGAGAGUCGAACCCAAUACCUUCUUACAAGUGAAGAGAAAUACCACUAUACUACAGUACUAAGUGACAAGGCUUUUAGUUAUCUUAAGUAAAAUGAAUUGUUUUAAAUAUCUUUAUAUAAGAAUUCUUAACAACCAAUUUCUUUAAUAUGACGAAAAUAUCAUGUGGCAGGCCAAAGUGGUGUAAAUAAUCUACCCACACUUUUCUCGGUUUUUUGGUUAAGAUAUCAAGUGCUAAUAAUCUAUCCAUGUGAUAGACUUCAAAUUCAUCUGUAACAAACAUAAAAAACCAAAAAGUGGGGGAUGUUGUGCAAAAGAAGGAAUAAUAUGUUAUCGAAGCACAUCCCUCUGAAUAGACGGUACACUCCUUCGCCACAACUUGCAUCACCAUCUCUAAAUUAAACAAUUAAUAAAAAAUAAUCAGAACAAAAAAUAAUAUUAAUAACAAAGUCAUAGAUACAUAAAGGGCUAAAAUGCACUAAGAGUUCCAUGUAGUUUAUUACUUGGAUUACUUUCAUCACUAUUUUUGUUAUAAUUUUGUUUUGUUUUCACUUUAUUCUAAUCCGUAAACUAAGUUGAUUUGUUCCUCAACUUAUGUGCUCAUUCGAUGGAAUGGACUAAGUCAUAGAUACAUAAAGGGAAUGCACUAAGAGUUCCAUGUAGUUUAUUACUUGUAUUUUUACUUUCAUCACUAUUUUUGUUACAAUUUUGUUCUGUUUUCACUUUAUUAUAAUCCGUAAACUAAGUUGAUUUGUUCCUCAACUUAUGUGCUCAUUUGAUGGAAUGGACUACUAGUGCUACCGGAAUGAACUAAGGGCGAAAAGCAAAUUCCGAUUAAACGACUAUUAGUCCAAUGAGAGAGAGAGAGAGAGAGAGAGAGAGAGAGAGAGAGAGAGAACCUGAUGGCAAAAGAUAAGGAAUACGAACAAUAUGAGCCCAAAUAACUUGUUGAUUUCCAUGUCUCGCAGUUGAAUGCCUACCAAGUUACAUAUGGUUCCUUAGCAUGUAUUCAACAGCUUCAAUGGCCCUUCAUAUAUAUAGCACGAAACUGUGGAAGCUUUUCGACUUUAACACCAUACAAUUAAUUAAAUUUAAUAAACCCUAAAUCCUAAAAGCAAAAUUUUAAGCCCCUUGACUUGAAAAGUGUCGUCUUUUUUUCGCUUGUGCUCGGAUUCUGUUUAAUGUGUGUAUUAAAUGAAUAAUGUUUGAGGAAAAAGUGAGGAUCCAGUAAUAAAAUAGUAUCUGGAGGACAGAUAUUGUAUAUAGUUUAGGUUUCCUUUGUAAACAAUAUCCAGAUGGCCUUCUGUGAUUCUUUGUUCUUACUUGUCAUCAAGUGGAACGGUGAAAGAUUAAGAUCGAGUCUCGUUCUCCUCCAUUUUUUUUUAAGGAAAACUAAUGAAAAGGGCUUGAAAACUUUGAGUUUUAAUGAUAAGGACAAAAUAAAGGAUAAAGUGAAUAGUACCAGGAUUGACUUUUUAGUGUAAAAAUGUGGUUUUUCGUUAAAGUGAACAGUACGGGUGCUUUUCGUUAAAGUUCCCUUUUUUUUAUUGUUUUCUGACUGGCCAAAAAAUGGUAUUCGUGUGGUGGAUCUUUGGACUCUUUCUUUGAUGCAGAUAAGUUUAAUUCACACAAUUAGAUUGUUGUAUUCUUAAAGAAACAAGUUAAAAGAUAUACUAUUGCACCGAAUUUUUUCAAACCUCAAGGAGCUUGAAUCUAGUUAAAAAAACAUGAGAUACUCACGUCUCAACCUAACUUGUCUACAAUAACUAAUUUUAUUUCAUUGUAAUUUUUUUGUAAUUUUUUUGAAAUUUACCCAACACUAUAUAGUUUUGAUUUACAUGUAUGGAAUUUUUGUUCCUUUUCGAAUACUCCGGUUCAGCUUUAGUGAGAUCACAGAUUACAAGUCAGGGAGGUAGAACACUACCAUCAACAUUACAAUCUGAAAGUCUACCGUUGCUAUUGGAUAUAUAUGUUAAUACUCAUGACAGAGUACUGAAUAUUGGCAUAGAGUUGUGGCAUUCCUUGGAUCACCAACUUUUAUCUCAACCUUUUAGGAUUUAGAGAUAAUCAGCAAUAAGCUGUAGGAACUCUGAUUAACAUCAGCUAUAGAAACUUUAUUUAUGAACUUAAAAUAAUUAUUCUGCAAAGUACAAUCACAUAUGGGGAACAGCCAUUUUAAAACGACUUUUCCUCUCGUCUCCGCCACUCCACCACCCCAUGCAUGUCCGCCACGUCUUCCAUCUUCACCGCCGCGCCUAGAGCUCCUUCAUACGGAAGGGGAGGUUCUUCACCAUGCGGAGGUGAAGGUUCUUCACCAUACGGUGGAGGAGGUUCUUCACCAUAAGAUGGAGGAGGUUCUUCGCCGUACCGCGGUGGUUCUCCCGGAGGAGAUCCACAAAUCUUAGUGCACAUGCAAUGACAUCGUAUGAUCCCUUCGCAUUGGCCACGCUCAAAACCCUCACUUUGGCAAAUUAUGUAGCACUUGUCGUCAUCGAAGUACUCCCUCUGAAUAGACAGCUCCUAUACUUAGACUCCAUCGCCCCAACUUGCAUCACCAUCUCUAAAUUAAACAAAUACAAAUUAAUCAAAAGGAAAGUACACACAAAAAAUUAAAAAAAGAGUAAUAUUGAUAAACCAUAAAUAUCAAAAUUAUGAAAUUCCUCAUUUGACGGAAUGAACUAACGAUGCUAACAGAAUGAAACUAUAAGAAGAAAAUUGAAAUUUUGUUAUGUAGUGCAAUGAGAGAGAGAGAACAUGAUGGCAAGAGGAGUGGGAAGACCAACAACACGAGCCCAAAAAACAUGUUGAUCUCCAUGUCUUGCAAUUGCAAGCUUAGCAAAUUGCAUAUGGUUUCUUAGAAAGCAUGUCUUAAAAGCCCCCCUGGGCCUAGUGUGGGGCAAAAAUGUGGAGCUCUCUACUUUAACAAUUGUAAACGUUCUUUUGAGGAGUGUUACUCUUACACUGCGAUGUGAGUUCGAAUUCUGUCGCUUUCUUAAUCUAAUAUCUAAUCUAACUAUUAUAUCAUUUGACCUAAAAAAAAAAAGAAGGUUUUUUUUUAUUUUAGAAUGUAAAAACAUCACCAAGUUUAUAUUUAAAAUUUGACCACUGGGAUUUUGGAAAUAAAGAAAAACAAAAUUCUAGGGCUCGUUAGUAACGUUUUGCAAAACGAUACUUGUUUUGUCACACAAAGAUGGCAAAUAGAAUUUUGUUUUUUUAUGACUUAAAAAAAGUGUGGUAGUUGUGCUUGGAGGCUGUUUAUUGAGUGUAAACAAAUGAAUAAGAUUUGAGGAAAGUCAUUUAGUACUACAGUCUAGUGAUUUUUCUCUUCACAUGUAAGUGAGAGGUUUUAGGUUCGAUUCUAUCAAAGGCAAAUUAAAAUCACAUUAUUGUUAUCCCAUUGUGAGACUUUCUGUUAAUGUAGAUAAUAUCGUUUGAUUUGAGGAAAAAGAAAGGAUCCAAUAAUAAAAUAAGAUAUGGAGGGCAUAUAUUAUAUAAUUAUGGGAGCUUUAAUGAAAAUGGCUUGAGCUAAGUUUAAUUUAGUUAAAAACCACCCUAUACUAUUAUUUAACCAUAAGGGCUUCAUAUUUAAUUAUAAGGACAAAACUAAUUUAUAUUAGGUCUCACAAACAUUAAACGCACAUGGGCUGAAUCAAAGGCCCAAAACGAAAUAAUUUUUUCUUCUAGGCCUUGCCCCUAAGAGCAAUUUCACCCCUAAAAAAAUGUGUCAGCACCCAGCCCAUUUAAUCCACUCAGUGAACAAUGAUAGACUGCAAUGAACACUAAUAGGCCAAAUGCAACUCCACCCCUAAAACUAAAUAGCCUAGUCAAUUUUAUUAAAAUAUUAUUAAUUUUUAUUAUAAAAUAAUAAUUUAAUUUUUAAUUUCUAACAUUAUCCCUUCUUCUUCUUCCCACUUUUCACUCUCUCACCGCAAUCCUUUCUGCUUCUUCCCAACUUUCACUCUCCCACCGCAACUCUUUCUGCAUUUCGCUCCAUACUCCCACCAAACUACUCACCACACCAAUGCUCCCCCAAAAAUGGACCUCCUCAUCCUGGAAAAGACCCAUUUGAGUCUCUUCGUAACCGUGAUCGUUGCCAUCACCAUUUCAAAACUCAGCGGCCGUUGCCUCACCAUCAAUCAUCGCCUCACCAUCGGUCGUCGCCAUCGCCAUCGUCGCUGUGAUAGUCGCCUCACUGACCUCGCCAAGACAUUCGGCGACUGCUUUCUUUUCCGCAUGGGGCAGCGCAACCUAGUCGUCAUCUCUUCGCCAGAGCUUACCAAUGAGGUGCUCCACACCCAGGGAGUCGAAUUUGGGUCGAGGGAGGCGUGGCAGUAUCGCCUGGCGUCAUGUAAGCCGGGCAAGAGCUCAACACAUUCUGAGCCAGCCUAGAAACUAGCUUGGGCUGGGUGCCAGCCUAUCUUUUCGGCUAGAAUGGAUUGGUUGGGUGCCGACCUAAAGGUUCCCCGGUGGAACUGCUCUAACGGAACGCAUUCUGUCAUCUAAUUCUGUUACAAAUAAACUUCAUUUUAUUUACAAGUAUCAUUGAUCCACCAGACAAAAAUUAAUGUGUUUGUUGUUCAAAUUUUGAGAUGAAAAGCACAGGAAGAAGCAACACUAAAUCGGAGGAAUCCAAAACGAUGCCCUUCAGUUCGGACGUCAAUGCGGUAAGAACGACCCUCUUGAAUCAACUUUGGAAUCGGCAAAGUUAACUCAGGAGCAGAUAAAUAGGAAAAAUCUUGGGGUCCACUUAUGGAAGUGCAUUUCCACUGAAUAUGGAUUCCAUUCUCGAUUCUAGAGGCCUGCUGGACCAAUUCCUUCUUCAACGUUGGGUUUGGAAGUUAUGAAUGGAAGAUUGGAUGAUUUUGGCUUUGAGGAUUACCUAAAUGGCCCCCACGGGAAUCUGAAACCUUUCGGCCUAUAGACACAUCAUGCAAUGGAAGUUCGCCUUGGGCUUUCAGAGGGUCCAGUCUCCUUAAGCUUUAUGUGAUCAUCAUAGACUUCCUUCCCUAAAUAAGAGGAUUAGUAACCUUGUCAAUGUUAUUCCUAAAAUGUGAUUGUUUGUUCGCCUUAUGGUAUUGCCUUUCUUCCAACCAAAGACAGUUAUUCUAUUUGGCACUUCAAAAAAAAAAAUGUACUAUUGGUCGUCACUGAUUGGUACUCCGAGCCCCGAGUUGAUAUUCUACCUUCCUUACCAUGCAUGCAUAAUUAUAUAUGUGCCAAUCAAUUAUUAAUACACACUCGUUCUCUAUUUGUUAAUACUAUCGAGAUCAAUUUUUUUUUCAAAUUUUGUAAAUCAAAUAAUUGAAUUAUGAUUUAAGCAUUAAUUAAUGUACUUAUCAUUUGAUUUGUAAAUUUGGUUUAAAAUUUGGUUUUCUUUAGCAUUAUCCCCUAUUAAUUAGAAGGGCACGCAUGUAUGCAUGAACUCCAAUUUAUAAAAAAUAGUUAUUAUUCAGUUUCAUAAAUAGUCAAUCAAUUUAAUAAUAGUGUAGUACCUAUGUCAGUUUCAUAAAUAGUCAAUCAGUUUAAUAAAUAGUGUAGUACCCAUGUCAGUUUCAUAAAGAGUCAGUCAGUUUAAUAAAUAGUGUAGUACCUGUGUUAGUUUCAUAAAUAGUAAUUUAAUAAAUAGUGUAAUACAUAUGUCAGUUUCAUAAUAGUCAAUCAGUUUAAUAAAUAGUGUGGUACUUGUGUUAGUUUCAUAAAUAGUAGUUUAAUAAAGAGUGUAGUACAUGUGUCAGUUUCAUAAAUAGUCAGUCAGUUUAAUAAUAGUGUAGUACCUCUGUCAGUUUCAUAAAUAGUGAGUUUAACAAAAUAGUGUAGUACAUGUGUCAGUUUCAUAAAUAAUCAGUCAGUUUAAUAAAUAGUGUAGUACCUGUGUCAGUUUCAUAAAUAGUCAGUCAGUUUAAUAAUAGUGUGGUAUUUGUGUUAGUUUCAUAAAUAGUGAGUUUAAUAAAUAGUAUGCCUAGGGAUGGGCAAAAUACCCAUGUGUUUGGGUAACCGUGGUUACCUGCCCAUUUAAAGUUCACGGUUACGGUUAUGGGUAUCCGUUUAGAUGAACAAACGGUUAUGGGUAUAACCGUUUAUCCGUGAAAUUUAAAUGGGUGGUUAUGGGUAUUACCCGCGGUUAUAACAGGUAUCCAUUGGUUAUGGGUAUUACCCGUGGUUAUAACGGGUAUCCAUUUACCCAUUUAAUUUAAUAUAUGUAAAAUUUAUAAUAUUUUUAACGGUUAUAACGCGUUUUUGUAUUUGUUGCUAAACUUUUCGUAUACAAAAAGUUUGAAGCACAAGAAGCCAACAAGAAGAAAGAUCAAAGAGCUUCCUUGAAGCUUAUGAUCCAUCUUGCGGUUAACAGAAAGUACUGGUAUUAGUGUAGAAAAAUGUUUGUUUUUAGAAGCUUUACUUUGUAAUCAUAUGGAUUAUAAUUAAAGACUUGCUUGGGUGUAGUAGAAAAAUAUCGUUCGUAAACUAUUAUUUCAAUUAUUAGAAUUGUAUGAUGACCUAAAUGAUUAAAAUAGAGAAAUGUAUGCUAAAAUGUACCUAUAACGGUGUUUAAUUGUCAGAAAAUGAAAUUUUUUUUUUUUGUAAUUUUCAAGUUGUUAAAAAAAACAUGUAGAUAGGUGAAAAAAGGGAUUAAAAAAAUGAUAAACGGGUUCACAACAGGUAAACGGGUAAAUGAUUAUGGUUAAAUGGGUAAACGGUUAUGGAUAAAUGGGUACACAGUUAUGUGUAUGGUUAACCAUUUAUAAACGGUUAUGGGUAAAUAACCGCGGUUACCCACCCGCUAUAACCAUUGCUCAUCCCUAAUAGUACCCGUGUUAGUUUCAUAAAUAGUCAGUUUAAGAAAUAGUCAGUGUUCAGUUUAACAAAUAGUGAUAGUGCCCGUGUUUAGUUUUCAAAAAUAGUGUAUUCAAUUUAAGUAAUAGUGUAGUAUUCAUAUUUAAUUUCAGAAAUAGUCUAUUUAAGAAAUAGUGUAAUAUCUUGUUUAGUUUCAGAAAUAAUACCCGUGUUCAGUUUCAGACAUAACCAUUUAAAAAAAAAUAGCGAGUGGAGAAAUAAGAUUUCAAUUAUUUUGGUUCAGUUCUAGAAAUAGUGUGUAUUAUUUUGCUAUAGUUCUAGAAAUAGUGUGGGUUAUAUUACAAUAGUUCCAAAAUAGUGUGUUAUUUUGUCCAGAAAACAAUAUCAAUUUCGGAUGCUCAAGCUCUAAUUUGUACACAUAAUUCAACACUUGUGAAAAGAAGAAACCAGUUUUUAGAAGACAUUUCGACUUGUUACAUAAUUGAAUGUUGUCUAUACGACAAAACCUAAGAACCCCAAGGAGCUGAGAACGGCCACAAGCACAAGGUUAAAGGCUUGCUUGUUGCUUGUAUAGCUUCACUUCUCAUGGAGGUCCAAUGUACCCCACAAGAAUUGUUCGUCAUGCGGCAUGGGAUGCAUUAGAUUUUCUUUUCCCGUUGGCGGAUACCCUCAGCAUCUUAUAAGCCUGUUGAUUGCUAUAUCCAUUAUGGUCAUUCCCCUUCCUCUUCAAGCAUGUGCUUCUCCUCCACUUCAACAUGUAUUGUCAGAUCAAAUUUCAUCAAAGUGCCAAUCAAGAUACACUAAUUCACACAAAUUUUAGUACCAACUUUUUCAUCAUUUGAUUCAUUUCUCAUCAGCCAAGUAGAAAAAUAAAAAACAAACAAAUUUGAUUCAGUUUAGUUUACUAGUGCUAAAUCGUUAAAGCACUAACCGCUAGAGGACCAUUCAAAGAUGAAUGGAAGAGAUGGAAAAUAUACAGAACCAAAGUGUCUAAAGCAUAUGUUGAAAUCAAAACAUGAUGGCACCAAGAAUUCGGCUCCCAUAAUAGCAUUUUGCCUUAAUUAGUAUGCUACUGCAUUUGAAAAGAUGGUCUUUACCAAUGAGGCGAACAAUUUAUAUGUAGAAUUCAACUUCACCCAAAUAAAUUUUCAUGCCCAAUUCAUAAACUACAUAUACAAAUAUAUCAGAAGCUGGUUGUUUUGUCGCUCGAUAAGCACAACAAUUUGAAUAAAAAAAGUCAAAAACAAAGAUUUAUACCUUUGUUUUAUGAGAUAUUUGUGCUCAGAUCCUUGCCAAUAUUAGAUGCAUGCACAUAAAUAUCUAAGUCUAUAAUAACAUGAAACAAAGAAAAGAGAUGCACAGGGAGAAAUAAAAUACAGAGUAACAACUUCAAUCUGAACAAUCGAGACGGUGAAUUUCUGAUCGCAGUUGUUGUCCUUGCUUAGAAGAUCUACAACAUAAGCCAAAAUGCAUCGUUUUAGAUACUAAUUACGCUCAAUCGAGAGACAAAAAACAAUAGAAAGAUCGCAGAGACGAAGAGAGAGAGUGAAAAUAAUUGCUUAACUUUGGCUUUUUUGCCGAUGGUGAAAACUCAAGGUCGUUUUCUCAUCUUUACAGAAAGGAGACAAAGUGAGAAAUUUUGGAAGAGGGAGUGACAAAAUCAAACCAUUUUGCAUGUCGGAGAUCCUCUGCGAUUUUGAUAGAGACAUAGACGGCUAAAAAUUAAGUUUGGGGGUCAGAUAUGUGGUUUUUGCGUAGUGGCAAAGACAGAGAUGGAGCUGCGAUGCGAGAUUAGAAAGAAAAAUCGGAAAGUCAAUAUUUAGGCCAUUUUAAUUGGAUUGGUUUAGUGUUGGAUUUUGUCCUAACCAUUAAAUAAAGUUAGUACAUGAUUUUUUGUUAACAUUCAAAGUUUUCAAGCCUUUUUCAUUAGCUUUUUUAUAAUUAUAGGUAGCCAUUUGUAAACAAUAUCCGGAUGGCUUUUUGUAACUCUCUUCUUAUGUUUCAUUUUCUUGGUUCUCUCCGAUUUCCUCUUGCAACCGAUGCCUUGUUCCCCGUGGCAUCGCUCGUUUAAUGAAUGAUUACCACCGCUCGUUUAAUGAAUGAUUACCAUGUGUUCGAAAAGCAAAUUCUUUGUCAAUAAAAGCACACCACGUGACAUGUUAUUGAUUGCAUGAGGGUAUCUCUCCUUUCGUUGAUACAAGUUUCAUUUUCGUUCAGACAGAAUGCAAACACUGGCUUCACUCAUUCAUACAUCGUACUAGAUAUUUUACGAAACAAAGAGGCAAAUGUUGUACUAGAUAAUACACAAUCCAGGUCAACAAUCUAACCGACUGUAAAAUAUAAUCUUAGAUUUUAGAGUUCGACAUUUUGGCCGGUCUCGUUUUGAAGACGAACCGAGUUCAAUUACAGGGCAGCACAACUCAAUUACAGUAAUGCAGACUAGAGAAACUCCUAACUCACCACUCAAGCAGUCCUAAACAGUUUUGGCUCCAUUCAGGCAGGCAAUUAACCCUUUUGGAUUACGCCGUUCUCCUUCAAGUACUCGACAAAUUCGUCAAUAAGAUAUGGCCAGGCACCUUCCGCAUCAUAGUUUGACAGUGAUGAAUCCACAGCCUACAAACACGGAAUAUCAAGUUAACCAAAGAAAUAAAAAGGUAAGAUAAAGGGUAGCCUUGUUCGGUUUUUGUUUUGGUUACAUAGAUGCUUGAUAUCUUACCCUCGCAAACUCCAAUAGUUGAGACCAUGUGUCCCUCGAAAUUGCCUUGUUAUGCCGAGCCUGAAAUGAUGGAAUUAAGGAGAGAAAAUAUAUCAAGAUAAUAUUUCCUGGUAAUUUUGUAUUUCUCACAAUCACUUUGGGACGUAUAAUGCCAUUUCAAUGCAAACAUACUUUCUAAGAUGUAACAGGUGUGACAAUGAUUUCGUAAAAGAAUGAUGUUAGGACUAAAUUUUUUAUAAGGGCCUUAUACACCACUGGUGGAACAAUGGCAGAUUUCGGUUUAGCUUUAUGGACCUAAUGAUAAACCACUAACACCUUCCUCGUUUGGGCUCCACCCAGGUAUGUAAGAGCGGCUCAAUCCAGGGCCCCGCCCCUGAGUCUUCACCUGUGUUCAUCACAGCACCUUCGCCUUACAUGCAUACGGGAAUCAAGGCUUGGAACCCCCAAGUAGGCUUUUUUUUUUUUACUUCUUUUAUCUUAUAGUUAUCAUACUAAAGGUAACAACAUGAAGCCUCCAUUUUGCACAGAAACUGUAAAAAUUCAUCAGAACUACUUGGCCAUAAAUUGUGGUGCACAUUUGGAGAUAUGCAUUCAUAUUAAACAUUCAUCACGCUCAAGGAGUUACAAAAAUUGGCAAUGAUUCCUAUUGGAUAAUAUAAAUGAUUAUUGCAAGCCCAUUGAGUGUAGCUAAUUUCAACAAAUACUAAAUUCCGUAACUUACCUGUAAGAACUGACACCAAUGUUCAACAUACGGCCACUGCUUUUCAGCAAACAGUAAUUGCCACAUUCCAAUUGCAGUAUCCAAUGCCAAAGAUUUCUGACCCUGAAAUGAAAAUGAAGCAAUAUACGUGUAUAUGAAUAUGAACACAAGCGCACAUGCACGCCCACACACACAUAUAAUUAUUUAUUCCAGAAAAUUAAAAUUAAAAAAAUAAUAAUCUUAUUGUUAAGUUAUUGAACAUGAAGACUAUCUAUAAUCAGAAGAAUGACAUAUGCAUCACAGACUAUUCCUGAAGCUGUGGUUGAAUAUGUUAUGAAUUGUGUUUUCAUGCACAUGUUUCAAGUCCAAAUUCGCACCCAUCAAGAAUAUAUAUCAAGGAAUUCUUCCUAGUUUUAUCUAUCAAAUUUGAGAGAUAACCACUGUCUAGAAUACAACAAAUCAAAAUCUUCAUGCAGUAAAGUAAAAAGUAAAAGCACAUACCUUUUCUUUUGCCCAGCCAAAAGCAAAAUUAUAUAUCUCUCGAAACUUUUCUGGAAAAUCAAAAGAUCAUUUCAGCAAUGAAAAGGUAUUCUUGCAAAAUUCAAAUCACAUCAAUAAUCUUUACAGAACAGUCAAGCUAUUUCAACAAAAAUACAUGUUAAAAUCACGAGUAUCUUCCACAAAUAACCAAUCUUAUUAAAAUUGUUAGAAUUUCCGUUGGAUUUCACUAAACAAUGUUAAAAUCACCCUAAACCCUAAUUACUUAACUAAAACUAUAAUCACAUUUCACUUACGUUCAUCUUUCAGCUCGGAUCUCAUAAAUGGUAUCUUUUCACGGAACUUGUCCAAAGAAUCUAUCCUGCCAUCAGAUAACACAAACUUCUGUUAAUUGAAUCUCUCAUGGUUAUAAACUAUGUACGUAUUAUAUUUGAGGUCUAGAAGAAUGUAAUAAACAUCUAAACCCUUUGUGCCUACCCUAGUGAUUCUAAUCCAUCUACGAACUCCUGCUUGGAAAAUUCACACAUGGUAGCUGCCUUCAUGUGCCAGGAAACAACUAACUGCAUCAACAGCCCAUUGUACCAAAAAUCACCAGCCAAGUCACAAGGAUAAGUUGAAAAAAAAAGUAUGCAAACUAAAAACAAAAGUUAACCGAUCAAAUUGGUACCAUAUAUAUGAUUUUCAUGAAGCUUACUUUUCAUAUGACAACCUCGUCAUUACCUGCAUAGCAAUUCUCUUUUAUACAGUUCAAAGUAAAUAUUACCAAUGUCCCAAAAUUUUAGCCCGCUAAACAUUAGUCUCCAAUCUUGUAAAUGUAACAUUUAAUCCCCAAGAAUUCUAUGUUAGACUGCGUCCACAACUGUAAUAGGCCCCAGUCAGAAAACCACUAUAUCUACCCUAAUCUUAUUAAAAUUGUUAGAAUUUCUGUUGGAUUUCCAAGCAAAAGGGCUCUUUAGCUCAAAUGGACAGAACUUCCUAGAAUUGAAUUUCUCGGUUGCCUAAAUAGUAAUUUGGCAGACUUGAAAGGAACUCCGUAGGCAUGCACAUCUUGACCAGAAAAAGGUUUAUUUGAAUAUACGUACCAUGACGAUAUCUUGAGGAUCCACCUGUCAAAUAAUGAAGGCUAGCAUGUCAGUCAAAAUAAAAGAACAAGAAAUUGCAAUUAAACAAUCAUAAGAAACAAACAACAAUAUUAAAGACAAAUGACUGAGACAGUUACUAUCUGCACCAAACAGUUACCUGAAGAUCAUUGCAAAGGAGGCUGAUACCAUCAACAAGUAUCAUGUCAGCACGUGGAUCUGGAAAAAAAAACUAUUUUACUAGUGAAAAGAAAAUUCUGCUAACCAUAUAAACUUUGGUUUAAAAAUUAAAAAAGAAAAAAAGAAGAAAGAAACAUUUGAUGGGUCAUUUGAUUUUAGGUACAAUGCUAUCACUUAUCACAAAUGAGAAAUUUAUAUCUGUACAUGCAAUAUUAUUGCUAAUCAUCAAGUUCAUCAGUAUGUACCAAAUCAAGUAUCGGAAUAUAUAUUUGAGUAAGACAUAGCUGAUGAAAAGCUUGAAGAAAAAAACAAUCCCAUUAAUUUUUUAAUAUAAAACAUUUAUAUAAAGUUCAGAUUCAAAAAUCUCGUGUUUGCAACUAAAGUAUUAAGAUUCCAGCCAAAUUCAUCUAUUACAACUUGAUAACACCACAUGCGUGUGAAUUUAUAAACUGACUUAGAUCUCUGUCUUUUCAAUUUGCUAUGAAUGUGAAACAAAAGAUAGACACUAAUGUCUAAGAUUGAGGACAAGAGUAAAUGGAAAGGUAAAGCUUGCCUUUAUAUCUAUUGUAUAAUUCCUCCAAAUGCCUAGAAUCAGUAUGUGCUUGCAGCUGGGGCUGACUGUAGAAUACAUCAAACGCUCCUUCAAGAUGCCAAUCACUAGACUUCAGAGCCUGCAAAGCCACUUUUUCACUGCACAUGAUGGGAAGUUAGACUUCUCAGUCCAAGAAUCACACUAAAACUGCUCAAGAGUAAGGAGAGAAAAAGGUACGAUACACGCCACCAGUUUAAUACAAAGCACAUAUGCGUGUGCAACCAAUUAAUCCAAUUCAACUCAAAAGAUACAUACAAGCUGACGAUUAAAACUGCUCAACUCAACCAAAUCUAACACAACAGAAACACACAUGUCUCUUAGAAAGGCAAAAAUUAUGUUGGAGUUAAAUGUAAAAUUUUAAAAUCUUCGUGAUUGACUAUUGAACAUACAACGUCAACUGGUUUUAAAUGGUGCUCUAAAUAUCAAUGCAUAACAUGCAUAAGCUAGCAAAACUGCCAUUGAUCUAAAGACGCGAAAUGAAGAAAAACAGAACUUGCUGGAGCUUUUCGGACUACCUCGCUCCGGUUAUCAUGAUGAACUGCUGAAGCUUUUCACGUUGGCCUCUACCCGACUUGUGCUGUCAAAAAGAAAAUCAAAGGUGAAGCAGAGAGAGAGAUAACAAAACCAAACUAUGCGCAUGUUGAUUCAGGUAUAUGUAAGUGUGUGCGCGCAAAUACAAACGAACGCAUAUGAUUAGCAUAAUAUCAACAUCCAAUAAAUAAUCUCUGCAAAAAUGUAACUGAAAAGUGGGUAAUCUUAUAAGAGGAAAAUGAAACAGUGGGUAAUGAUCUCUAUGUUGUUGUCACCAACCACAAAAGGUUACUUUUUUCGUCAAGAAAGUGCAAAACAAAACCAAAUUUUCUUCAAAUUCACAUCCACCGAGGUUUUCCCCUGCCAUAAAUUUCAUUUUGCAUCAAUUUUCUUCAAAAUCUAAGAAACCAACAGCCUCUUGUUAACUAAUCUCACAACCGAAAAAACCCGAAAACUCCUUAACUAGUGUACGUUAUCAAAUCCAAAGACACAUCUUUUAAUCCCUUUUCUCAGCUCUCCCAGCUUCUCAAAAUAUGAAAUGUUACUAAAAAUUGAAACUUUGGCAUGACAGUCAAGUGAAAAAGUCGCUAUAAUUUGCAGAACAAAUCAUGAAAAAGUGAAACAGUAAAAAGUUAAGUUGAAGUAACCCUAGAGAAGCGAGAGACUGAUCAGGAACCAUAAGCAUACAUGAAACCGAACCAAUGAGAAUCGAAGAAAUUUGACACAAAAAUCGUGGAAUUUGAAAAUACAGCUGAAAAAUAGAGAGUACUCACCAUCUUUGAGGUGGACGAUGAUGAAAUCGCAGACCUUGAACUGCUUUUAGAGAGAGAAAAUUAGGGUUUUGCUCAGUUUCUGGGUAACAAGCACACAGAAAUACAUACGAAGAGUCUCUCUGUAUCUAUCUCUCAAUGGGGUCUGGGUUCCCUGCAUAUUGUGUUUUUAAUUGGUUUUUAUUUCCCUUUUUUGUUUUUUGUUUUGUUUUUGCUUUUCGCUUUUUGUUUUCCAUUUUUUCUUUCUUACCGUUUUUUUUCAAGGCGAUGAACAACGGGCGUUAAAUGCGUUUGGAUGUACUGAGCGUUUCGUGUUUAAUGUUUCGUAAAUCAAAUAUAAAUGUGUGAUACGAGUACCUUUAAUGUGCAUUGACCGUUAAAUAUGAGUGGAGAUGUAUAAUGAGGAUUGCGUGUUUAACAUUUGAUAAUCGAUAAUAAAUGUGUGACACGAUUACUUUUAAAGUGCGUCAACUGUUAAAUUCGUGUGAGAUACAUUUUGAAAAUGUAUAUGGAGUCCACUACGAAAGUCACAUGUAUUAACGUUUCAUAAAAUGUGGCAUGACGAUCUUUAGCAUGUAAUGACCGUUGUGAAUCAAGCUGUGAAAGCUAAAUGUACUACAAAAUGGUCCAUGGUCACUCUCCUUAGCUUCUGCCGGACGCUAUGCCCUACCUGGCGACAACCCUUGGGCACUCAAUGCAGGACUUUAUUAUUUUUGACAAAAAAAAUAAAAAAUAAAAAAAUAAAUAUUGCCUAUUUUGUAAGUAAUGAAUGUUCAAACUUGUGGUUUAUUUUAGGUUUUAACUGCGAAGUGCUUAGCCCAUGCAAUGAAUCCAUCAGUUCUACAGUUGGGCUUGGUUCGGACUCAAUUGGCCCAAUAUCAAAGUCCAUUCAACAGCCCAAUAAAGCUGGUCCAGAAUUGUUUGGUGCCAGAGAGUGCAAAGAUCCAAUAGGCUCAUUGUGGAUCUUUGAAAUUUGGUCGAAGUUCUAUUUGUUCCUCUUCAACCCACUACGUUUCAAGUUCAAACUCUCUCCUCUUCUUUUUGUAGAUUAGUGUGAAAUAUCGCUUGUAAUAAAAAAAUAUCCAUGAUAAACUCCUGUAAUUUACAAAGUGUUGCAACUCAAAAAACAUGUCUUCAUUUUCUUCAUUUUUUCUUAGAGUAAUGUUAGGGAGACCAAAUUUAUAAAUCAAAUUCGCAGACCAGUGAUGUGUCACCAAUAAGAAAUAAGUACGUUAAUCAACAUUUAAUCAAUAAUCCAAUCAUCUACAACCACAUCAUUUGGUUUGUAAAUUUGAUUUAUAAAUUUUGGUACCCCUAGUAUUACUCUUUUUCCUUUUUCUCGAUGGGAAGCGUGUGAGUGACAUGUGUGAUUUAAGAGUAACAUUAUAGAAGUGUAAAAGACCUCACACAUGGUUUCAGAGUUCUAAUUUUGUCUGAAAAACAAAAGUGACAUGUGUUAUUUAAGAGUAACAUUAUAGAAGUGUAAAAGACCUCACACAUGGUUUUAGAGUUCUAAUUUUGUCUGAAAAACAAAAGAAAUAAUUUGACUUGUGUGCCACUUCGGUCUCCAAAGCUCUAAAAUAUGCCACUAUACAUGUAUCAUGAAGUGUAGUAUUUAUCUCAGCAACAAACAUAACUUUAAAUUUUUCCAAGUUAUGCAUACACCUAAUGGUGGUUCAGUGGUAAAUGAUAGAUUGCAAGAUUUCCUUCAAAUUAAAAAUGAGAGGUUUUGGGUUCGAAACCCAUUGUUGGUGUGGAAGCUAGACUUGUGACCGGAAGAGGCUAAAAUGCCUCCCGAAAUAGGUGGAUCCGUGGCCCCUAUCAAUUAAAAAAAAAGUCAAAAAAAAGUUACGUAUACACCUAUACGCAUGGACUCCAGGUCUGCUAUCCCUUAAAUUGUGUCUCAUUUGUAUCUCCUUACUAAUAUUUUGACACAUAUCCUUUAACUUAACUUAAAACUUAAAUUUACAAAAAAUAAUCCAAAAUAAUAAAAAAAAACGGUUGGGGUAACGAGGUGGGCAAACCCAAAUAGGAUUCUUUACCUUCUUUUAGGUGGUUGUUCAAUGAACAACUUCUCUGUUCAAGCUUUCUGGUAGAACUCGAUGAUGGCGCGUGGCUUCUUGCUGGUAGGCGGAGGAAUCACCAGACAUGAAUCGGUCCAAGCGUAGGUUAGUCUGCUAGUGGUGGAACUGGAAAGUGAGAUUAAUAAACAAUUCCCAACUGAAAGGUGAUCAAAGAACUCCAUGCUAUGAAUCAGGUACACACACACACACUUACUUAUUGAACCAUUUAUAAUUUUCUUGCUGAAAAGGAACAAGAAAAUUUCCAACGGCGUAUCCCACAAAUUUCCAAAGUCCUCCCAAAUUCGUCUUCUCAAAGUUUCCGUUUGUUUCCCGAGAAAAGGAACAAGAAAAUUUCCGAUGGCGCCCAAAGCUGAGAAGAAGCCCACGGAGAAGUCCACCGUGGCAGAGAAACCCCCCACCGAGAAGAAGCCCAUGGCCGGGAAUAAGCUCCCAAGGAGGCCGGAGCCGCCGCCGGAGAUAAGAAGAAGAGAUCAAAGAAGAGCGUAUAUAUACGUGGAUUUUUUAAAAAAAAAAUUUAAUGUUAAAUAAAUAAAGUUAAUGGAAUUAAGUUAAAAGACAUGUGUCAAAAUAUUAGUAAGAAGACACAAAUGAAACACAAUUUCGAGGAAAACAGACCUGAAGCCUUACGCAUACCUCUCUCGUCACAUAAAAUGAAUACAAUAAUGCAAAUACAUGUUGGUUGACAACGCCCGACACAAGAUCUUCUCCCAUGGCAUUAGAAAUUAGAAAUAUAUUCUCAUCAAAGGCACUUUUCACGCACACCGAAUGCCCCAAGUAGGAUACCAUGGUUCCUUCCACACAUAUUUAAUAUAGACUAAUUAAAUUAUAGUCGGUACAUAUUCUUUACGAAAAGUCACCUCUUAGAGACGAAUUCACUUGAAUAAACUAAUCUCCAAUCUCUGAAAACUGACAUUGAAACUAUUAAGAGUUUGUGUAGCAUCUGACCAGCAUUUUACAUGCUUUAUCUACCGAUUUAAAUAGCAGUUUAAAGUUUCUAAAAUAUUCUUUCUUCACUUGGAUUAGUUUACAGUUUAGUAAAGUAAGCCGUAUUUGUUUAUUUGCCUGUGUUUUUCUUUAUAUAUUGAGCUGCAAUUCAUUGUCUUCCUAGCAAACUCUUUCUGCUGAGAAAACAUGGUGGCGGAUCUUCGAACAGAAUCUUCGGAUUACCGGACCGAGCUCUUGUCGCCGGACGCGACGGGAGAGACUGUGACAGUGCCAACUGAGGCAUCGUGGAGGCUCAACAUGGAUGGAUUCAACCUUCCAGCUGAGAGAAGCAUGGAUUCUUACUUUGGCCUUGGCUCUUUUGUAAACUCAUUAAGUAAGCUGUUAAGUCCUUUUCUCUUAAGUCCCCUUCGUAUUAUCAAACUCAAAUUAGCAUUGAAAUUCUCUCUAAUUCCAUCACAGGGAGGCAGAGAAAAAUUGCGCAAUAUUACAAGAGGCAGAAUAAGCUUCUCAAAGGAUUCAACGAGAUAGACUCAUUUUCUGAGAUGGGUUUUUGGCCUGGAAGUUUAACACAGGUUUGUCGUUAAUUUCGUCGUUUUAGGCCAGUUUGUCAAUCAAAUUUUCCCGUCACCUUGAAUCCAAGUUCAAAUUCCCAUCCCUGUAGAUUAAAGCGAUUUCGAAGAUCACUUUAGAAGAUACGUUUCAAGCACAAGCUUUUUUCUUAAUUGUUGCAUUGAAUUUUGGGACCUUUUGAAUUUUUUGGUUUCAGGAUGAGGUGAACCAACUUGCAAGAAAUGAAAGGAUGGCAAUAUAUACAUCUAAUGCGGCUAACUUGGUGCUUUUCCUGGCAAAAGUUUAUGCUUCAGUUGAGAGCAGAUCUUUGGCAGUAAUUGCUUCAACUUUGGAUUCUCUCUUAGACCUCUUGUCCGGCUUCAUUCUUUGGUUCACUUCUCAUGCAAUGAGAAAACCUAAUCAGUAUCGGUACCCGAUUGGUAAAACCCGGAUGCAACCUGUGGUAAGUAUAGUCCUUCUACUAUACAUCAAUGCAUAUCAUAAAGUGCCUUUGAAGUGGAUCCCAUUCAUCCGUUGAAUUCCUUGUGCUUGUAAUCUUGAGCGAGUUGUAGCCGUUAAAUUCUGCCAUGUAUUUCAUAUACUGAUGUACCUUUCGGUGGUUAGCAAUUGAGAGAACAUUGGAAAUUCAAUCUCAUGGCACUGAAUCAACAAUAAAUCAAUGAUUUUGUAGGAUUAUGUUCAUGAGAAUAUGAAUCCUAAUUUUUCGGACAAUUAGUUCUAACUUUACUUCAUGCACUAAAUCUCAAAUGCAUUGCAGGGA
rnacentral:lncRNA from 1 species